rnacentral:lncRNA from 1 species
UUUUUUUUUUUUUUGGUAAUUGAAACUUCAAUAAUUUGAAUAAGCGUUAGUGAUUGAAGAUGGAAACUUCAACUUUGAUGAAUGAGAAACACGAAGUACUGUCUUCAGUUCACAUUCCGAACUACUUUUCUCUUUUUGUCUCUUUUUAGUCUUUACCUUGCAUACUUACAAACUUAAUAUUGUUUUAACUUGUGAAAAUUAAAUACAAAAUGGUAACCAAUCAUUAGAAGCCAAGGAAUAAAGUAUCUAAACAAUGGCUGUUUACUGCUGUCAUAAGAGGAAUCAAUACAUAAAGAUUAUCAAGUAUAGAAAAUUACACUAUAUAAUUAACCACAAGGUUGCUUACAUUCAAGAAGCUCACUUUGGAAAACAGUAUAGCUACUACAAACCAACUCCAGGUGAAACCGAUAAAAGUGAUUAUCACCUGGGGGAUACUAACUGACAAUAUUAAGAGAAACCAUGAAGAUGAUAAGUGGCUUCUGAAACAACUCCAAACAAUGCAGACAGUACUAUUACAGAGAAAACAGACCACUCCUUACAUAAAGAAGACUAUUGAUUAUUUUUUACUACCAAGAACCAACAUUAAAAGGCGUUGUCUUGGAAACCCCUACAUCACAAUUAUCAUAUUGUCUUCCUGCAGCCAUAGACCUCCAAGCUCCCCUAAAUUCCCAUCUGCGCUCACUUGCCUGCAAAUUGGAGCUUGUCCAUCCCAUGUUUCAGAUACUGCAUUGAAAAAAAAGAUCGACAAUGAAUCUUGUUUCCAUUUCAGAAGUGAUUUGGAUAUUUCACUGUACUAGUCUGGUCAAAACCUUCAAAUUGCAAUCCCUCAUUUCCACAAUAACUCAUGUAGUCUGUGUGUCCUGAGAAAGGUGACAUGCAGGCCAUUUGAUUCAGAUCAUCAGCCAUUUGGAAGUCCCCGAAAUUCGAGUAUGAUGAACUAGGUGAAAUCUCGGUAUGUUCAUAUGACUGCCAUGGUGACAUUGUGCUUGGAAACUCGGACUGUGGGAUAUAAUUAGGCACAGCUCCUUGCAACUGUGGGUAGUCCUGCAUAAAAGCCAAGAGAAAUGUAUAUGAGAAAAAUAUUAACAUUAUAAACAUUAAGUCCUUGAAAUUUCUUAUUGACUUUUCCCACAUCAAUACCUUUGAAGAAUCAAGAAUUAAGUCAGGUGAAACCCAGAAGGCUGUAGGAUUGGUGUCUCUUGGAGCUGGCUCAAACUCUGCCAUUGGAGUGACUUCAUAUGGAGAAGUAGUAUGGCUUGAAUGGCGACUCUCGUCAUGCUGGUAGUUCACUUGAGAUGACAUUCCAGCAGAGAUGCUCAAGGUCUCAUUCGAGUUUAUUGUUGAGGUCAAAUCCCCAUUGCUUGAAGUACUUCCAACCGUCUUAGCCUUGGGUUCUGCACUGCAAUCAUUUGCCUUUUGUGUGUGCUCAUUCUUUUUAACAACACGGCACAAAGCGAAAACUCCCUGUAAAUAUGACCAAAAUGCCAAAUAUAAGUAUCUAAAGUUGUCCAACAGAUACCAUUUCAGAACUAAUCCAUAACCAUAACACUGUAGAUGUACCUUAUGACCUGGUGACCCCUGAGCAAAAUCAUCAUUGAGGCGGUACUCAUGCAUAAUCCAGUCUGUUCGAUCACCUAAAGGAGCACGUCCACGAUAGAAAACAAGGGUCUUGCGGUAUCCAGUAACACUAGAUUGGCAGACAACCUUGCGGUCUUUUCCAGUGGCUUUCCAGUAGCCAGCUUUAGUAGCUCUAUUUGUUCUUGAACCAUUCGGGUACUUACGAUCCCUUGGACAGAAGAAGAACCAUUCCAUAUCUCGCCUGGGGAGAAACGAUUUCUCUGCAAUGGACAACACAAACAUGUAUCAGAUGCUACACCUUUCUUGAUCCCCUAAUAUUAAGUCCUGGCAAAUUAUGUUGAGAAGCAUAUUGGAAUUUGAAAAAAGAGAACAACUUUCACUGUUCUUGUACUUUAUCAACUUGAACUGUUAUGGGGGAAUAUCUAAAGCCAUUUAGCUUGGCUUUUGGAAGAAAAGAAGACCACAUCAUGCGCAGUCAGAAAAGAACAUAUUGGCCAGUUUAUUCCAUAAAGAAAAACAAAAGAAGCUCAUAUAAACAAAAAUCAAAAACUAGCUUUAUGCUAUUCUGUUCAGACUGGUAUAGAAGCCAUGACUAACUAAACCAUAAUAUUUUUCUCUUAGAAGUCAAAUAAAUACUAGAACAUUAAAAUACUAACAGCCAUAUUCCUAACAUAGAAAAGCUCAUACAUAGUCACUGGAAUUCAUCAAAUCCUAAACAAAGCACAGAAAACCAGACCAGAAUGCAAUGAAAUAUUUACUUCUAAACUGAGUUAAAAUAUUGAUAUAAUUAACAAUUACCUGGCAGCUCCCAGGGAUCAAAUUUGUACAAAUCGAUCACAGGGAUUACUUCGAGCUCAAAUUCAAGCCCCUCCACUUUUCUACUGAGAUAGUAUCCCACUAACUCCUCAUCAGUUGGGUGGAAUCUGAAACCUGGUGGUAGUGAUGCCCCUCCCAUAACUCACAAAUAGCCAAAAACUUUCGAAACCAAAAUAACAAAUAUAAUAGUUAAAAUACCAGAGAGCUAUAGCUUUGGGAUGAAUGAUAUGAAAAAUUCCAGUUAAGUGCCCAUACUGUAUCUAUUGAAUAUUUGGAAAAUCCAAAAGUAAAAGCUUUUGUCAACAAUGGAUUUCUUGUCAGGAAUUGAGUAAAACCUCCACAGAAUGCACCCUUUGGAUGGCAGAAUCAUUGUCUUUAGAAACUCUAUCCUUGUAACCAAUGUGCCAACCCCAACAACCCCCCUCACAAUUUUGUUUCAGCAAUUCCCAGAAUAAGAUGAAAAGGAAUCAAACUUAACCCUCCGAGUCAAUACUCAGAAGCUGAUAUUGGCUCAAAUUCCACAACUAGAGUGUGAAAUCACUCAAUCAGUGAAUACGAAGUGAAAAAUAAAGGAGCUUUGUCUAAGAAAAAACUGGUCAGAACUUCCAGAAUUGGAACCUAUUGCAAUACCCUGAAGUAAAAACCAUUCAAAACUAGUCGAAAGUUGAACCUGUUGGCAGUUGGAAAAGAAUGUGAGCCAGAAAGAGGUAGAGAUAGCACAAGAGUCAGUGUCAAGAAGCAAAAAGGGGAGGGGGAGAGGGAAGGAGCAGAGAAAGAAAGGAAGGAAGAGGGAGUGAAAGAGUGGCAAAUGUGAUGUGUAUAUAUAGGGAUCCUGGGGGAACCAACAGUCCAAAAAUAUACACAAAACACCGAAAGUUUUCCAAGAUUGCUUGUCUGACGCAUACACAAAAUUCCAAUGGAGGGAAGACAAUGGCCCACCUACACCACAUAACUUGAACUCAGUUCACACUAUGACCCUGCACUACAGUCAUUCUUCCCGCCAUGACCGUUGCUUGGUUGCUUCAGCUACUUACCAAGCAGUGUGCAUCACAUUGUCACAAAUCGGAAACCGUUUAAUCAUUUCUACGAUUCUUUAUACAGUUUAAUCUGACGGUUUUUUAUUUAGACAGUAUUUUUACACUUUUCGCCACACCAGAAGUCCAGAACACUCAGCCUCAUCCUUCAGAUUCUCUCCUGCAGUCCUACUCAUACCCCCAUCAUUUUGUACAAGCUAUUAUUGAGCAUAUAUGAAGAAAACUCUUCACAUGAUGUCAUGCCAUCUUUUCUUGUGGUAUAGUCUAUCUUUACUUUACCAUCAUAUAGGCAAUGUUUGACAGUUUAUAAGCAAAGAUUCAAGGUUAAGAUCCACCUACAUCUUUUUUUCUGGUGAUAUAUGUGAACUACUUUACAUCAACAUUAGUGUUAUGUGCAAUAUUUUACAUGUGGCCUAUUGUUUAAUGAGAAAAUCCUAUAACAAUUGAUAUAGUGACUAUGCCUAUAAGUCUAUAACCUCACCAGGACCUAUAAAACUGUAUCACCUCUCAUUUUUGUAAAUCCUCUAAAUAUGUAAAGCUUUUUUUUUAUCUCAUAUCCAGUGGAAAUGAUGCCAGAACAGAAACCACUGAUUAAGGUAAGCAAGGGGAUAGUAGACAAUAUACACUUUGUAUAACAAGAUGGUUUAAAUGCGCAUUCUAUUACUAGGACAUUGCAGUAUCAGAUCCAGGCGAACACAAGGAAAGAGAAAUGAAAAGAGAACUCAGAAUGAAGGGCAAAAUGACAAUUCAUCUUAGUCUACUGGAUAUGUUAAAAUGGAAAAUCAAACGUCUUCUCAUUCAACUGAGAAAAGAAAUAAAAAAAAAGUCGCAACUGAAACCGAAAGUAUGUACUUCUCUAUUAUAUAGAAGUGAGGACAGGUGAUUAUAAGCUGACAAAGAGCCGGGACAAAAGAACAUGGACGGUGGGACAAAACAAGCUUGAAUAUGUAUUGCAGGAACACAUGAUUUUUAAUAAAUGGACGUAUCUGGUGCCUCUUUUCUUUCUACAUAUUCUUUCCUCACUUUUUCUUGAAAGAACAAAAUAAAUGAAGACCUUCGUAAUUAACAAAUGCUCACACAAUCAGAAAGCCGUCCAUCCUGCAGCAAUUGUCUUUGAUCCAUUUGUUGAAAAGGAUGAUUCCUCUGCAGAUGAUCAAGAGAUAUAUAAGAUAAGUCUCAAUUGCAUAUAAGGGUUGGGUUCUACAAAUACCAAAAAUAAUAGAUAACAAGAGACCUCCCGAAAGAAAAUUAGCAAAUCUCUGUAAAUCACACUCAUUUUUUUACUAGAAGAGGUGAUCCAGUUUACUUCCUGUGCAGUGUAAAAGCAAGAAUAAAAACAUGAGAUGCAUCCAAGUUUAUUGGAAUAGAGACUCACUGAAACAACAACAAAGAAAAUCUAGAUUUAAGCUUUGUGGUUAAAAUCAGGUUUUAAAUAUGGCCCGCUUGACAAUAAGCUAACAGCUACUUGGCUUGCCCUUCUUGCAAUAUAAAUUGAACUCAAUUUUCAAAGAAAUCAGGUACUAAAAUUCUGAGUUCAUCAGAAUGCAACUAGUUCUAAUUAGACAACAACACUAUCUUCUGAAACACACAUGGCAUGCAGAUACCGUGUAGGCAAAAGCUUAAAGCCAAUCGAGAUAAUCCCUCCCGAUUACCAUUUGUACAUAUAUUCCAUGAUCCAAAUGCAAUAACCUGAUAAAUAACAUGUGAAGACAACAAAAUUGCAGCUUAAUUAUAAAAAAUCAACACUGAAGGUCCCUGUGGAGGUUAUUUGGAUCUUAGUCAGCUAUGAAAUAUUUAUAGCUAAUGGGUAUCGAAACUCAUUCUUGCCAACUUUAAGACUACUUACUGAGACACACUUGCUUAUACAACAUGUUUAUAAUUUCCAAGUGCAACCAAAGCAGAGCAAAAAAAUUGCAAGUUCUAAACAAUUAGAUCUGGAAGGAACACUGAGAUACAUUGUCCAUACCUCAAUGUGAAAAACAUCAGAGGAGGCUUGAAAUUAUGCCUUGGGUUAUCUUGGGGUAAUAUGACACCACCAGAGGUGCUUCUAGCAGCAACCGGAUCAUGGGGAGGUGGUGGCAGAGGGGACCUGAUUUUUCCUGCCCCCAAGGCGAGGCGAGACCAAAGCUCAAUGGUUUAGGCUUCGGAGACCCAGACCCUGCGGCUGACAACAUUCCAGUCCCUCUUGUAGGCUUGGGCUUGACAUUUUCCCUCAUAGUUUCACCUUCCUGCAGAUCCCUAGGAAACAAAUGAAUCGAUUGAAAGUGGUCAAAACUCAAAUCAGAGUUUUAUGAUCUUAACUUCAAUCUAUGAUUCACAGCCGGGUGAAUAUCAAUGUGGUUUUUGUCACUGGUCUCGCCACCAUUGGCAGUUCUCUCAUUCUCUCUCUUCACAUAUUUUUUCAUGGUCUGACAAGGCUACAUUGAAGUCAAAUGCUUCAUUUCGUUCAGCAAACCCUAGUCCGACAAAUGCAUGCUUUCCACAGCGAUCCUCAAUCUUCAGCACAAAGUACCAUUAUGAGUCAAGCACCAUCUCCACUGAGUUCUCGCGCUGGCCCGGAUAAACAAAGCAGGCUGCAAAGAGCUCACUGGAGCUUGGAUCCUCCAAUCGGAUCUCACAUCUUUCCUUGCAGGACACAACACGCAAUCUUCCUGACCAUAUCCUGUCACUCUGGAGCCACUCGCCACACUUGUAACCACCCGAAGUGGAAUUUUAAAGACGGAGACCUCACGUACCACGAGGAGUGUGAGCUCAUAGGCCUCCUCCUCUUGCUCAAAAUACAUUGUUCUAGAACCGAAAUGGGGGCAAAGUUCCAAGCUUUAUCAGAUUCUGUAAGGCAAUGUAGGUACUUAUUAGUUGUGAAAGUUCCUACUUAAGGUGGAAAGUUCCUAACUUUGAAAGGUAUAUCAAGUAUUGUGGAUUAUAACAUGGCUUUAAUUCAAGUUUUGGUAUGGGAAUCAAGCAUAUAUAUGUAGAACUGAUUCUGAGCACUGAACUAAAUGAAAUGUUGGAAAAAAGAAAACUUUUGGAUUCCUAUCACAAACUAAUUGAUUUACAUUAAAAUGAUGCUACUCAUUAUCAGAUAAGUUCCAAAAUCUCAAAUCUUUCACUAACUACAAAAUCAGAUAAUUUCUACACAGAUAAAGGUAAUAUCAUCACACCCAGUUAAACAUCAUCUCAGAUAACCAAACCAAGACGCAAAUAAAACCCAAUCAGGAGUCUAAGAAUCCCAUUGAAAAGGAUAUUUCUUUCUUUGAUUUUGAGAAUAUUAACUUCAAUCACAACAGCUCUAAGUCUAUCAUUGAAAAACCCAGAAACAUAAACUAGGAAAAAGACCAAGAGGAUUCAUACCUGUUGAACUUGUUUGCUCUAGAUGGCUUCCCUUUCUGAAUUUCUGUCGAAAUUGAGAAGAAGCAGCUCAGAACGUGAAGAAGUGUUCAAAGCUGAACCAAACCUCAAACUCGACUGUUUUUUUUGUUCUUCUUUGUGUUGUUAGGGAUGGAGUGACAGGUGUUGCAAUGUCACUAGUCCACGCCAAAUGUGAAAGAAUAUGUGGAAUUGGUCUAGUCAAUAUAUAAUUUUGUUUUGGUAUGACUGUAACGACAGUCGGAUGAGAGUGGUUUGACGGUGGUUUUAGCCUCAUUCAGGUGGCAGCUUCGCUGUUAAACGCACAUAUAGUGACGGUUGGCCGACGGUUUAUAUGAGAAUGUUUAGACGUAUCUGAAAAUAGAUUACAGAUAUAUAAAGAGCCUUUUUAAUAAUAAGGACCAUUAGGUUAAAGACUAGUUGAGUAUUUCUUUGUUGUAUUCUGAUAAUAUAAAUAGACAAGCCAAACUCUAUGGUUUUAGUUUUUUCAAAAUGUUUGAAAAUCUAUCAAAUCUAGUGUCCUAGCAAAAAGAAAAUGAAUUAUCUAUAUCGAUCCCCAAGUCUUAUGUAAGUCUUAACUAAUCUUUGUAUGUCAAGUAACGCAUCAUCUAAUUGGAUUAUUAGCGAAUUCAAUAAAUAAAAAAAGGGUCACGGUAAAAUAUAGGAUUGUGACAACUUGACAUAGUUCCUAUAACUUAAAUUAGAGUGCAGUUAUUGAAACUUCCAAAUUUACACAAUUGACCUCAUGUAAUUGUGAAUUAUUGAAUGACAUAUUUCUCCUCUUAUAAAAUGACUAUUAAGGACAAUAGUAAUAUAAAAGGAAGCAUCACAUUUAUUUUCUCUAGACUUUCCGAUUCAAUAAUGAUAUAUUGCUUUCUUUAUUAUUUUCCUUAUAUAUUUUCAUUUCUAAUUUUACUACAUAUUAUUGAAGCAUUCAUAUAUUUAAUAAGAGCUAAAACUAUGAUCAAUAUCGAUCGUGUAUUCGUGUGUGACACAAAAGUUUCUAUUAUCAUAUGUGUUGAACAUAUGUACAAGAUGAAAAAAUUAUUUGCAAAGAAAAAAAAAGAUCAAUUAUGAAUAAUUAAAUAAUAACUAUUGAAAUAAUCUAUUAUGCGGUACUCAAAAUAGAAAAAAAAUAUUAAUAUAUAUAGAGAAAAAUGGUUAUUCUUGAUCUUCAUUUAAGAGAGGUACAAUAGAAAACAAAACGUAAUUCAUGUUAGAACAUUAUCUUGUUGAUAAAAAUAAAGGGAUUUUUGAAACCCUGUACAUUGUGCUUCUAUUUUUAUUUUUAAGAAAUUUAUGUUAUUAAAUUAAGGAAUCAAAUCGUAAUUAAGAAAUGUAGAAUGCAAAAAUUAAUUAUAGUGAGUAAAGUUUUUAUUUUAGAGAUAAUGAUUCAUUAUUAAAAAUUAUAUAGUGAGGCUGUGAGAUUAUUUGAGAAACUUAAGUGAGGUUUAGUGAGUAAAUAUACUAUUUCAAAAUUUGAUAGGAGGUGUAAAAAACAUAGGAUGUCUAGUGAACAAAUUUAGAGAUCUCAAUUGUCACAUCCCGACCCUUAUAUUUUUAUCUUAUUUACUAACGUGAUUAUAAUAAGAAUUUUACCGUCUCGAUCAUUGAGUAAAUAGUUUAAUUGGUCCCUAGAGGGGUUUCGGGGACGAUUAUGUGCGGAGGAUUAUUCGUUUGAGGAAAAUACGACGAGGGUAAAAAUGGUAAAUUUUAGCUAGUAAAAGGUAAUUUUUAUUCGGGUAUUAUUUUUCGGGGUGUUUUUAUUUUGGAAGAUUGGGUUAUAAGUGGUGUGGACCGGUUUGGGCCAAGCCCACACAUUUCUCUCCCCUCACUUUUCUCUUUUCCUCCCGAUUCUCUCUCCUCCCACCCGAUUUUCUUCUCCCUCCGCCCGGAAACUUCACCACCGCCGUCCGCCGCCGUCCGGCCACCACCGACCGCCAGACUGGUCCCGUUCGGACCCUUGCCUCUUCCUCUCUCAUCCUGGACCAGUGCACGCGUGCGGAACGCCGCCGUGAAGGAGCGGUCAACCCCGAAAGGUUCGACUGCCGGAAUGGGUUUUUCGCCGGAGCUCCGUCUUCCGGCCACCAUAGGUCGUGAUUUUUGGCUCAACUUGUAGCCCUCAUCUAGGUGAGUAAUCCCUCAAAAGGUUUCGGCUAAAUUCGAUUUCGUUAGGGUGGUUUGUAUAAUUGAAAGUUUUAGGGACUAGUCUUAAGUUUUGGAUUAGACUAUUGGCUAAGGCUAAAGAUAGCUGAUAAUCUGGAAGUAGUUGAGAUUAUUAACUUACGGUUUGGGUUAAUUUUCUAAUUAAAGGACUCAAGUAUGUGCCUAUGGACGUAAAGGCUCGCCGUAGGAAGUUGACGGACAUUUGACUUGGGAAGCCUCCGCUUGGCAAUUAAAUAAUCAAAUCACUGUGAGUGGACGUUUGUUUUUAAAUUAAAUGCAUGUGAUAGCCUCAUAUUUAAUGAUAGUUGAUUUUUAUAUUAUUGAUUCUUAAUUAGUGGAAUAAUUUCCUUUUACGAUUGAUUUCUGCGAAGUAUUUUCGGAAGUAAUUAUUCAUAUUUUGUUUGUUAACUUCGCUAUUUGAAAAGUACCGAAGAUGGGAUCUUUCGGUAGAGCCAUACUUUCAUAGCCUCUUUUGUAAUUGACAAUUUUUAUUAUUUUGGAGAGUUACCGAAAAUGAGAUUUUCGAUGAAUGUGUAUAUGGAUAGUUAUGAGGAGAGUAUGUAUAUAAAUGCUAGCUAGCCAUAUGUGUCUGUCCACUUUAAUGGCGUAGCAUAUAGCCGCAUUAUGGUGUGACGUGAGCGUUGGACGCGAGCGUAGUAGCCCUAUAUGAGUAUCUAAUUCAUAUAGGGGGUAUGGGCACAUAUUUAUACACCCGUCUGUCCACCUUAAUGGCGUAGUGUAGCACCGCAUUAAGGCGUGACAUGAGCGUUGGACGCAAGCGUAGUAGCCUUGUAUGAACUUCUAUUUUUCUUAUAUUUUCAUAAGAAUUCAUACAAGGAGUAUGGACGAGUGUAGAUACAUACAUAUAUAUUUGUAAUUUAGCCUGAGAGGCUGUAUUUUAUUAAGUCUUAGAGACUAGCCGGAGCUAGUUGCGUUUCUGUCAGUUUAUGAGUUGAGCGCUUUUGAGCUGCCGCAUGCAGUAUUUUUUCUAUGAAAUUAAAAUGGGAAUGCAUAAAUAUUUAUAACUCUAGUCCAUUUCUCCCCUAAUAGAGUUGCUCUGAACAAAUGAAUUGUUUGUUGUGGGAUUUUAUUUAGUUUAAAUAAUUGGGAGAUGUUGUGAUUUGGGGGAGCAUGAAGGCUCCAGGAGUUUAAGGUUGGAUUUGGUUUAUCAGAAGUGUAUGCAGGUUUUUCGUAGGAAGGGUUGUCCAUUUUCAAAGGAGAUUAUGCCGAAUUUUCGGUAAAUUUUCCUUGGAGGUGGUCCCCGCAGGAUUUACUUCGGGUUUCAGGGUGAAAUUCGGGGUGAGUCCUGACAUCAAUAGCCGCAUUACCUAAAUUAACGUCACUAAGGAUAAUAAUCAACUCAAUAUUUAUAAGCCACUUGAAAUAUGUCGAUCACAUUCAAAAUAGUUGAUGUAUAUAUUGCUUUCAGAUUUAAGGCGAUUUUUAUUAAUCAUCUUAUUGUUACUGUAUUCUUCUUAAAACUCUCAUUCAUGACUGUGUCGUGUCAUAAGAUCUAAGCCUCUAAGGUCUACUAUUGCAAGAUUACAUGCAUUGUUCCUACCCUUCAUUAUACAGAUCCAUAUGAACUCAUGAGUUGAUUAGUGCACAUAAAUCGACGAAAUAAAAUUAUUAGUGUUUGAACGCUCUUGAUAAAAUGAGCUCAUCAUCUUACCUUUUUUUUUUGUUAUGUUUUGAGGUAGUUGAAGAUCGAAAUUAACUGUACAUUUUUGUUUAAGCAUUUUUUAGAAUCUGUGUUUUUGUUUUUUGUACGUUUUAUAUAUGAUUGGUUUUUAGUCCAAGCUCCUUCCACGCAAUCCUGAGUCGGACAGAAUCACUUUUGCCUUAUUCUAUUUAAGUGAUGCUGUCAUCAUCUUCUUCCUUGGUCAUCCAUUGUCCAAAAGGAAAGAGCUAGCAAGCAAAAGUGUGUGCUUACUCAGUUUCCAACUUUCUGGUUUUUUGUUUCUAGCACUCAGUUUCAAACUUUUGGGGAUGAGAGAGCAAACACGGGCGCGCCUUUAGUAGUGGGGUUUAUAUUGUCUCUUUCAAGUUUCAAUUCGAUGAUUUCAAAUAUGGUAGAGAUCGAGCUAGGUUAGGAGAUUCUGAUGUUCACUCGGUUCUGCUUUGAUUUGAUUGAACUCGUUUGCUUUUGCAUUACCAAACCCUAAAUUACAUUAUUCUUUGCUUUACAAAGUUACAUGUCUAUCAGAAACAGUUCCCCCUAGAUAUAGACAAAUGCUUUUUGGUUUUUUACAUUAGAAAAAAGGGCAAAAGGGUAUCAGAUUGAUGUAUGGCAAUGGGCCAUUGGAGCUUUUGGUUACUGUAUUAGAUUGAUGACUAAGUUUCAUUAAAAAAAAUCAUAGGAAAUUUCUUACGAAAUUAGCUUUUCACACUGGGAGAAGAAAAGAAUAGUGAGAUCAUCAAAAUGUGUUUGCAGUAUCGAUCAUGCAAAUAGCUCAAUUUCACACUGUUUGGGCACAUUUCAUGUAGAGAAGUAUUGAAAAAAAAAAAAAAAAACAGGUAAGGAAAUCCUUGCAGAAAACUACUGGAUUAAGAUUAAUAUGUAGUUCCAGAAAUCUCUUCUAAUGAGGACCUCUAUAAUAAUGAUUAGUUGCUAACUUUUCGGUUUAUCCUAUUUUUCGAUCUUAUAUCUACAUCUUAACUGUUCAAUAUAUAAAUAUUUAUGAGUAGAUCAUUUCUGUAAAUUUUCAGCCAUAUUGAAAAUCGUUAAGACAUUUAUAAAUGUGAUUUACCAAUUAUGAACUUGAACAUAUCAUGUUUAACAAAUUUGGUUCGUCUAUUAACUUGAUCUAGUUCGUUACCUUAACGAUCACCAAUUUGACUGAAAAUUUGUAGAAAUGAUCUAUUCAUAUAGAUCUAAAAACUGAAUAGAUGAGAUGUCAAAAUAUGAUCGAAAAAUGAGUUUUUUAAACCAUAAACCGAAAAGUUCUUAACUAGUCCUGAUUAUAAAGAUCCUCAUUAUAAAGGCUCCAUGUAGCUCCAAAUUACUUUAAUUAGUUAAUUAUCUUAGGGAAAAUGCCCAAUAGCCCUAAAUUUGAAGAUUUUUUUCCCACAAACAAAAUCAGAUUCUAAAAUUCCCAUCAACCCAUAAACUUUUAGAGAUCUAUUCCCACUAACAAAGUUUUUUGUUUUCUGUUUUCUAUGUCUUUUUGCUGACCAUAAUACCCUCCUUUCCCAAUCUCUCCUCUCUCAACCUCCGACGACGUCGUCGGCUCGAUCUCAAAUCUGUCUCCAAUUCCAUCGCCGACGACCUCCGGCUCGACCUCGACUUAAUCUCCGAUUCUAACGACGGCUUCUUGCUCGACCUCGGCUGCAUCUCCGAAUUCUUCAACGCCUACGCUCUACCGGUAAAAUUCACAAUCUCAAUCACUCUAAUCAAUUUUCGCUUCUCUGGCCAAUUAUGCUUCAAACUCGAACUGAUUUCAACUUUUUAUUGUAGCACAAUUGGAGAUGUUCUUAGUUUGAAGGCCUGUUCAAUCUCAUUGGUUAUGCUUCGAUCUAUCUAUUUUUACAGAUUUACAAUAAUUUGUCCUCUAUGAGUUUGAGGAGAUAAUGCGAUAUCUAUGUGUGAUGAAUUCAAUAAUGGUUUAUAUUGGUAAAUACAGUUUUGUGGUCUUGUAUUCAAGCAUUGCAGUUUAUAUGUAUGAUGAAUUGAAUAAUUUGUGCUCUUGUAUUCAAGUGUUGCAGUUUUGUACUGGUUUAUAUUGCAUAUGCAAAUAUUAAUCCCAAUCUAUGUCAUCUAUUGAGUUCAAAAAGUGGAUUGAAUCAUGGAGUAAUAAGCAUGUACGUGGGGAUCAAAAUAUAUUGGUAAAUGCAGCACCCCCAAUUUGACCUUAUACCACCCUAACAUCUCUAAUAUGCUCACUAUUUAGGUGAACUUUUAGGUAAAAUAGUUCAGAGUAAUUGAUGAUAGGCAUUCUGCUUUACUCUGUUCAAUAGCAUCGAGCUUGUUGAUACGUUAAGACUUUCCUUCUGCCAAUAAGUGCUCCAGUAAUGUAAACAUCGCUUGCAGUUCACUUGAAAUACCUGGUUCCUUGUAUGAUCUUUUUAUUAGACUUGAAAACCAUUGUGCACAUCACAUGCAGGUACUAGACUUGGACUUCAUCAGAAUAGUUGUAGCACCAUGCAACGUAGUAAGUGUUGAAUUGCUGAUACCGAUAUAUUACGCUUGUAAUUGUUCAUUGUUUAAGAUUGGCUGCCAACCAAAAGAUUAAUUGUUUUACUACUCAAUAGAAUGUAAUUGAGCUCCUUUUGUUUCUACGUAUGAGCUUGAGGAUAUGUCUAGUUGGUGAAUUGAACAAACUUGGGUCAUGAAAUUAGAUUGGUUUAUGUAUUCCAGCUUGCUAAAGGUGCAUUAUAAAGUUGAUUUGAACAUUUGAUACAUAUCACUUUCUUAGUAUGAUUACGAAAUGUGAGAGUUGAUGUACUGUAUACAUUAUAUUAGCAUUGUCAUUUCUUAAAUUCAACGCAUUUUAACAAUUAGACCUCUUAUUGUCUCCAAUAGACCUCAUACUACCCCUAGUAGACCCGAAUAGGUGGUCAUUCUACCCUAAUAGAGACUUGGUACAAGUGACUGAAGCACACAGUUAAGUUCAAAGGUCAUACUGCCCCCAAUAAGAGGUCUUACUGACCCCAAUAUGUGGUCAUACUGCCCCUAAUAGAGACUUAUUAUAAGUGACUGAAGCACACAAUUAAGUUCAAGGGUCAUACUGCCCCUAGUAGGAGGUCCUAUUGACCCCAAUAUGAGGUCCUACUGACCCCAAUAGGUGGUCAUACUACCCCUAAUAGGGGCCUGUUAUAAGUGACUGAAGCACACAGUUAAGUUCAAGGAUCAUACUGCCCCCAAUAGGUGGUCCUACUGACCCCAGUAAGUGGUCAUACUGCCUCUAAUAGGUGGUCAUACUGUCCUCAAUAGACCCCCCGACACACCCCCUACUACCCCCAAUAAACCUCUUGACAAACUCCAUAUUGCCUCGAAUGGACCCCAAUAGACCCCUUACUGCCCUCAAUAGACACCCUAUCGCCAGAAUCCGGUCAACGGUCUUCAGACAGACUUCAUAUUGCCCCCAAUAGACACCCUACUGCCCCCAAUAGAUACCUUUUCGUCGAAAUCCGGUCAACGGUCCCCGUAUCCAAGUCAAUAGUCAUCGGAGUCUUGUUAACGGCCCCUGGAGUCCGGUCAACGGUCGCCGGAUCCCGGUCAAAAGCCGCCGGAGUCUGGUCAACGGCCCCCGGAGUAUGGUCAAUGGUCCCCGGAGCUCGGUCAACGUCAUUGGUCGUGGGAAUCCGGUUAUAAAUACUUUAUUUUAUAAUAGGCUCUUAUAAUGGUCUAUUGCAGUUUAUUUAAUUCAUUAAGGGUAUAAUUAUAUUUAUGCUGUUUAAGUUGUCUCUUGAGAAUUUUAAAAAUCUGAUUUUGUUAGUGGGAAUAAAAUUCUUAAAAUUAGGGCUAGUGGGCAUUGUCCAUUAUCUUAUAGUGUAAAUGAAAAGGAAGUGUUAAUAAUGGACCAAAGUUACCUCAUCAUAUUUCUUCCUAUGGUUUUUUUAACGGUACAUUCGUGUGCUCUACCCAAGUUACAUAUUUAUAUUAUUUGAUCGAAAAUGACAACUAAUUAAUCUUAUGAAAUAGAGCAAAUGCCCAUUUAGUACUAAUUUGAAAAGCUAAUAGCCCAUUCUAAUGAAAAUCAUUUUUCAUUGCCCAUUUACACAAAUCUUAAGAAAAAGACAAUAUUGUCCAUCAUAAAUACCAAACCUACCUCUCCUCUUUCUCAUUUACCCGCUCAGGCCUCUCUCUCUCUCUCUCNNNNNNNNNNNNNNNNNNNNNNNNNNNNNNNNNNNNNNNNNNNNNNNNNNNNNNNNNNNNNNNNNNNNNNNNNNNNNNNNNNNNNNNNNNNNNNNNNNNNNNNNNNNNNNNNNNNNNNNNNNNNNNNNNNNNNNNNNNNNNNNNNNNNNNNNNNNNNNNNNNNNNNNNNNNNNNNNNNNNNNNNNNNNNNNNNNNNNNNNNNNNNNNNNNNNNNNNNNNNNNNNNNNNNNNNNNNNNNNNNNNNNNNNNNNNNNNNNNNNNNNNNNNNNNNNNNNNNNNNNNNNNNNNNNNNNNNNNNNNNNNNNNNNNNNNNNNNNNNNNNNNNNNNNNNNNNNNNNNNNNNNNNNNNNNNNNNNNNNNNNNNNNNNNAAACUUUAGUUUUUUCGUAAUCUAAAUUGUUCUUCCUCUGUUUUAGUAUAUAUUAUGACCUUGAAAAUAUUGUUUUGCAAGUUUACUACCCCCAGUAAAAGUUUACUAGGGUUGUAAAUUUUAUUUUUUGCAUCUAAGUUGAUUUUUCUCCUUUUUAAUGUGUACUUAUGGCCUUGGAGAUAUUGUUUUGCAAGCUUACUACCCCCAGUAUAAGUUUACUGGGGGUAAUAAACUUUAUUUUUUCGCGUCUAGGUUGUUCUUCCUCUGUUUUAGUGUGUAUUAUGGCAUUAAAAAUAUUUUUUUGCAAGUUUACUACCCCUAAUAAAAGCUUACUGGGGGUAGUAAACUUUAGUUUUUCGAAUCUAAAUUGUUCUUCCUCUGUUUUAGUGUGUAUUACGUACGGUCUUGAAAAUACUGUUUUGCAAGUUUACUACACCUAGUAAACUUUUACUGGGGUAGUAAAUUUUACUAGGUGUAGUAAAUUUUAUUUUUUCGCAUCUAAGUUGAUUUUUCUCCGUUUUAAUGUGUACUUAUAGCCUUGGAGAUAUUAUUUUGCAAGAUUACUACCUCCAGUAAAAUGUUUACUAGGGGUGGUAAACUUUAUUUUUUUGCAUAUAUGUUGAUUUUUUCUCUCCUUUAAGGUAUAUAAUGGUCAUAGGAAAACUAUAUUGCAAGUUUACUACCCCCAGCAGAAGUUUACUAGGGGUAGUAAACUUUAUUUUUCUGCAUCUAAGUUGAUUUUUCACUGUUUUAAGGUGUAUAAUGGUCAUGGAGAAACUUUAUUUUGAGUUUACUACCCCCAGUAAAAGUUUACUAGGGGUAGUAAACUUUUUUUUUCGUACUUAGGUUAAGAUCAUGUAAAUUCCGAUUGCAUUUAAAAAAAUCCAGUGAGAUUCCUGGAAAAUUCCAACCACCGGAUGCCGGCAAUUUUCCGGCCGUCGGAAAAUUCCGGUCACCGGUGACCGGAUUCUGACGGCCGGAGUUCGGAGUCCGGCGACCAGAAUGUGGCCGCCGGUGACUGGUGCCGGAGCCCGGUGUGCUUCCGGUAAAGUCUUCCCUCCAUCUUUUUCACUUUUUCUCUUUAAGUAAAAGCUAAGGGUAAAAAAGUCUUUAAAAAUAUAAUUUUAUUAUAUUUUAAUAAAGAUUUGUGUAUUUAGGCUUAAAAUAAGUAUCUUGUAUUCAAAUGGGUUAAUAAAAAAGAUUAUCAUUGAAAUAGGGUUUGACUUUUUCUAUUUUGUGCAAAUAAUCUUUUUCCCUUAUAUUAUUUGAUAAAAAACGACAACUAAUUAAUCUUAUGAAAUAUAUCGAUAAGGACUUGAAGUACAUUAAGGAAUAUUACGACUAGUCUUCCAUAUAUCUCCAUAUAUAUUGUUUCAAAGAUCGAGAUAAUUGUUUCUGAUGCGGCAUAUUAUGCAAGCAGUCCGUCGUAGUGAAAUUUAGGUUUUGCAUGCAAAAUUUCUUGGCAGUUUUCUUUGGAUAAUACAUAGCAUGAGAAAGCCCCAACUCGAUGAAAUUAAGAGGGAAGACAAUUACAAUCAAUUAAAGAGGGAAUAUCAAGAUUCAAGACGUAGAAAGUGUCAACCCGCGUAGAUUACACUAAUUAAACAAAGGAAAUCCCGUGCUUGAUAGGCGGUCGGAAGAUUAAUUUAACUUUGGCCUGCAUGUAACUGGACGUAUACUUUAGAUCGAAUACAACAGUAUCUAGCUAGCAUUGUGCCCAAGGUCUGGACAAUGUUUGAGGACAUCAAGUUCGAGACAUGUUCUUCGAUCCCCUUCUCGGCGUCUAGUCUUCCCACAGUUGCGAUGACAAGCUUCGCCGCUGUUAGCUAGCUCAUCCUCCUUCUGCUCCGCCUAGCUUGGUGUACUUCACAGCUAGCUAGCUAGGGUUAACAUUUCCUCAACAGUUUGCUCAUUUAUCUUUGAAUGAGUAUCAAAGCGCUCAAGUGUACGCUAGCCCAUAUCGAUCGAUCUCCCCGAUUCGAUCUUCUUAUGAAGGUUAAGCAACAUCUUCUCCUCAUCAAGUUUCAUUCUAGCUUCAUGUAGUUUAUUGCCGUUGAGUACGUACGUAUUAACGUCGGUUCAACCCAUGCACCAAUGCUUGAAUAUUAGAUGGUUCAAUAAGAUCGAUGCCCUAGAUUCGAUGUGAUCAUAUAUAGUUUGGGGGUUUAUAAGGCGGAACUUGCUCUUGACACUCUGCAUCGGAUCCUCCUCCGCCGCCACAUGCAGCACGUUUUUUCAAAGCCUCAAUGUCCACACCAGAAAGCCAGCGAUGCAACCAAAUCCAGGGUGAGAAACUGAGAAUGGUAGCACCCAACAACCAUCUCCGGUCUGUUCAUUGUCUUCUAUUUUCUUCCUUCCAGACAUUUUGGCUAGCCCUUUUAAACUUUCCAAGCACCCUUAUACGGAUCUAAUUGCUCUAGAAUCUUCUUUUUGCGCCCUAGCUAGGUUUUCAGCUUUUAUCUUCUAGCUAGCUUUGAUUAAAUUUACGAAUAUUUGUUUGGCCAUAAAUAGAAAAUACAUGAAACUAACUUUUAUAAAAUGAAAAGAGAGUGAAGUGUAUAGAUAGAGAGCAACCGUAUGUACAAUCACUCCACCGAAAAUCGAUUGAAAUUCAUGACCUAUAUAUGAAAAAGAAGUCCUCUCAAAUCAAGUUCAAAUCGCUAGCUAGCUGUGACAGAAAUGCAUACUUCAGUUAAAACGGUGCUAGCUAGUUGAGGUGUGAAAUGAAGUCAAUGGAAAAGAAUUAAGUUGUGAAUGAACGAUGGAAACUCAUCGAGGAAAAUAAGGUGUACAUAUUCAUCUAUCUUCUAGCUCUUUAGUUUUAUGGGGAGUUGGAAAAUAAUGGAGACUUGAGGGGAAGCCAGACCAUAACAAAAUGCUGCCCCUUAUCUUGAUGGAGGCUUGUCUUCUGCUUUCGGCCCCUUUGUCUCUUGGUGCAUGUCAAUGAACAUCAAUGGCAACUGUAACACAUAACAUAGACAAAGAUAGUAUUGCCGCAGACCACAAUAUAAUGCUCCAAACAAAAUGGAUCCAUCUUGACUUCACUCUAAUAAUUUCAUUUGCAAGUUAGCAAUAAUGCAUAUAUGCACUGCCAAACAAGAAAGCCGGCCAUUUGAUGAUUUGAGUUUGGAUUUUUCUAUAAGUCGCUGAAUUGGCCGGUUCAGGUUUGCUGCGAUUGCCUGCUUGAUAUAUAAUUGACUCAUCAUUCAUGCCUGGGCAAGCAGCUAGCUAGUCAUGUUCAUCACUUACUGAACUGCCUCCAAAAUUUGCUUGGUCAAUAAUAUCUUCAAUCAUAAUCGUAUGUACGUGAUUUGAGAUAAAUAUACAAAUAUGAAGUAUGAGAAAUUCUACCAUGAAGUAAUUAACUGUAAAAUGAUGAGUGAAUUUCAUUCUCUUAGAUAUAGGUACCUAGGAUAUCCUUUGAACUGUUAUUAUUCUCACCAUGAAAUGAUACACAUGUUGGACUAUUUCAUUUUGGCGCGGGGCAGAGAGAUGUCACAAUUUGAUUUUCCACAUCAGUGGGAUCAGAUUGCAUGACAUGCUGAAGUUGCUAAAGAAAAAAAAAGUUCAAAAUCAUUCGGCUGCAACCACCAACCCAGCGACCCACAGAUUUUGCGAUAGAAAGUAACUAGACUAGUAACUUCGUAAAGUAGUGACUAAUUUGUCUGCUUCUGCUGCUAAAUUGCUCAUAUAUGGCUUAUUAUGCUAGCUAGGAUUACUUGAUAGAGUUUGUAAUGAUUUGGCUUAUUAUCACUAAUCGCAUUUUAUCAUCAGAUUGAUCACAAUCAUAAUGGGGACAUUAUCAUUAUCUUGGUUAAACUAUGAACUCCUAGAUUAAUCCAAAUCAAUAUCAUAAUCUUAAUAACAUUAACAGCGUAAUUAGUUGGACUAAUGUGAAAGUAAUGCUCAACAUUAUGAAAAACACUCAACAUUUUAUGUAGGGCGCAGACAUGUCCCAACAUCUUGUCUAAUUAAUAGUCUUCUAGUUUCAUUAGUUUAUUGAGCAAUUAGUUGACCAUCAAGAUGUUUGGGAGCAUGAAAAUCUUGAUUUUAGAUUUAAGAUAAGUUUAAGUGCAGGUAUUAGUACCAAAAUCCAAGUCAAUCGAAUAUUAUGUUCUUUAUUUGGAACAAGAUAUUCUGUUCUUGGUCAGACACUAAUGAUGUUGCAUUUGAAUAAACAAGAACAGCUUCACCAAAUGUGGAGGCUUCUGUAUUUGGUCCAGUGUCAAAACUUACAACAAAAGGUAGUGCUACAGAUGUGCCUUGUGUUUCACAAUGUUUUGUAUCUUUAGGAUCACAAGUCGAAGUCGAUCAAAUAUAGUCAAAUACUGAAUCUUUGAAGGAAUUUUUCAUGUUAAAAACAGGCCGUAAAAUCAACUAAGAGCAAGUUAGAAACCUCGACUUUAAACAUGUUUGAAUUUGAGAUUAAGUUGACUCGGCAGUCAUAGUUGGCAAUUCGACUUUGUUUGAAUUCUGAUCUGGUGCUUUGCUUUAAGUGAAGUCUAGUUGCUUCACCUGCUUGGCUUCAAAAUAUUGUACAAAUAUUUUCAGAUGAACAUAAGACCAAAUCAUCCUCAAAACCAUAGAGUCGAAAUCAUAAGUUUAUUGAUCGAUCAUGGCUAGAAGUCAAUCAGAUCAACCAUUUGGUGAAAAUUGAUGCCCUCAAAAUGAAGAGAGUGAGUUUUGUCGGUUGGAGUUUGCCCAACUCGGCCACAAAUCCUGUGUGUUUUUCCUGAUUGUUUUCUUUUGUCUUCACUUUUUGGGAUUAUUUAUUUUUGCAGAUAAAAAAAAUUGUGAAGACAUGAUCUAUGAUAUAUGUAUACUUGACAUAAUCGAGAAUCCAAUACAUAUAAGUGCACGACAUCCCUAAAGGACUGCAUGAAACCCAACCACCAUCAAUUCCAGACUUCCAGUGCAAAUGAUGUAACUACAGUACUUAUCGAUACAAGUAAAUAUAUAGAAAACGAAAACAAAUUUAAUUAGGACGUUGUAUGUUGUCAAAAUUGGGAUCGAACAAAACUACAGACAUCAGAAAGAUGAACAGCGUAUUUAGAGCACGGAAGAUCCAACUAAUGAUGCUAGAUCAAUAAGUACUGCGUAGUGUGUGUCAAAGCAGUUUGAUGUCUUUUCUCAAUCGCAGUAAAGUCUGAUCACCGAGUCAGCUCCGGCAGUGAAUAACCAGGGCUGCCUUGGGUGGAAUUUACAAUCCAUUACACCUCUCCCAUCUGAGCUUGCAUGACCUCGGAGUAUUUCCAGUGGAACUAUAAGAGGGUUCUGGUUAAGAUCUGAAUAAACCAUGCCAUGAGAAACUUGUACAGUGCAAUCAUCAGAGCAUGUUGCAAACAACGGGUACAAACGAUGGUAAGCCACAUUGUUGAUGUCCUUCUUAUGCCACCUGAUAAAUUGUGAAAGAUCAGCAGUGAAAUAUGAAUGCACAAUGAAAAUUCUUGUAUAUGCAUAUGUUUGGUGUUUCAGAAAUUGAUCAUCUGAUCUGCCCAAUAAAUAAAAUAAUUAACAAUGUAAUGGAUAACCAAAAGUCUGUACAUUGUGCAGAUUUAGAAUGAAGAGAUACAAUACCUUGCAUGAAAGUAUAUACAAAAACAAAAUGUACAACUCACUUUCAUAUUUGGCAUAAUUAUUUAAAUGUGGGACUUACUGGCGAAUGAGGUAAGGUUUUUUAGUUGAAAGGUCCAUGUCAAACCAACAAAAUUUUCCUUCUCUGCUACCAACAAUUACAUGAUCACCUGCAUUAACAGUUCACCUCAGAUGAUAAAUCAGAGUGCAAACGACGCACAGACAAGCGAAUAAAGAACUGACUUAAUGAACUCAUUUGCAUAUAGUUGAACAAAUACAGAGAAAUGUAGUGAAUCUAAAAUAAAUAUUACCAGAAGGAUGAAUUGCAAUGGAGGAGAUUUCUUUUAGUCCAGUAUCAAGCUUUCUGAUUUGCUUUCCCUUCACCAAAUCAUAUUGGCGAAUAGUUUUCUUUGUAGAGAUGAAGAUGUGGGAGCGAACAGGAUGGAAAACUGAAGUAACUGCAAGCCCGCCCAACUUGAUAGAAAAUGUCUGGGUAGACUUCUGAGAGAGCCUAUGCAUAAAAAUUGAUUUUGAUUGGCGUAAAGCUAAGUCAAGGAAAUGCAAGGAGAUACUAAAUGGGUUCAUGCAAACAAAGUGAGUGAGUGGGAGUGAGAGUGAGAGAGCAUUUAUGAUAUUCUGACAAUAAAAAGGAUAUCUGCUGGCACCACAGUUGAAAAGUAGUCUCCUCUACGAUGCCAUUCCACUGAAGACACAGUCUGCAAGACCCAACAAAGCAAGCAAUUAAUAAUUUUGUUGACAGACCUUCCAUCCAAUCUUGACUUCAGCUUACAAACCCAUGUAUCUAAUAUGUACCUUAAAAUGUCUUAACCUUGUGCCGUUAUGUGUUUCAUCUUGAAUCCAGUUCACGAAGGUAGCUGUUUUCCCAAUGUAUGUGUAUUGCAAGGGUCAGAAACCAUUAUACAGAAUACAUUCAGAGCAAUAGCACAUUCACACUCACCCUUGUCAUCUGCUGUGGUAGGUGCUUCCGCAGAAAGAAGUUCUUUAGUUUUUUGCUGUACUUCUUCAUUCCCAAAACCAGUGUUGAGAAUAAGUACAUCAUGUCCCCUAAAAAUAGUUAAUCAUUAAUUCAUGGUAAAGUAACAGGAUCCUAGUCAAACAAAUUUUAUUGGAUGAAGAAAUCCAAAAUAAAUGCCGCCUUACACAGAGAUAGCCAGUACGGAAUAAUCAGGAUUGGGAUUCCAAGCUACAUGUGUGACAGCUUCCCCAAUCUCCCAGAGUUUGAGGCAUCGACCAGUUUCAACCUCCCAAAUACGCACAGUUCCAUCCAAUGAACCUGUAAAACCAUAAGAAUUAAUGUCACUAACAUAGAAUUGUAACACCUGACUGAAUGCCAAAAAGAAUCAAGAAUGACAGGCACACCUGAUGCAAUCCACUGCCCUGAAACUUCUGUGGAAACUGAUGUAACUCUAUCUUUGUGACCUUUAUACUGUAGAUAACAUUUCACAGGAUAUGGCUUGAGAUCCUUUCGACUUGGUAGCUUGGGCUUCAGAGAUUCGGGAUCAAUAUUGAUCUGAGGUGAAAAUAUAAUGUUAUGAAUAAUGGAUUGUUCUUGCCUUAAAGUAUCAGAAGUAGAUUCAAAGAUUUAGAAGAUCUUGCAAAUCCACGACAGGAUAAACUGAUCAGUAUAACUCUACUUAUUCUGCUGUAUGAAUUUCUCACUUACACGUUUCUUACGAACUCUGGGGCACAAGUAUAGAUCCAAACAUCUUUCGAAGCACUCCUUAAUAGCAUUCUCAUAUGCAGGGAUGCUUCUCAUAGAUGUAAACCUGACCAAUAUGACGAUGGCUAAGAUAUUAGAUGUUGAACUAUGAGUAGCAAACCAACAUCAGUCCCAACUACCAGUAACUUUAGUGUUACCUUUUCGGUAUAAACUUAGGGCGGUCUUCCUCAUACAUUAACUGAUAAGCAUCAAUCUCUUCUUGUGUCGGGAUGAAUUCUGGAGGAGGAUUGAAGGACUCCUCAUACCCUAAAAGAAAGAGUUACUUUAAGCUCUCACAUGAUACUUACACCAACAAAGAGGAAUCGAUCUAUUAAUUAAAUUUCUACACUUCUAGGGAUAUGGAUAAAGUCAUAAAACUACAUACCUGGCAAUUUUGGCUUUGGCGCUGGAAUGUAAGAUAAAUGGCUACCGUCCUUUUCUGUUGAAUUAGAGUCGUCUCCCCACAAGGGAUAAACAUUUUCUUCUUCCUCUUCUUCGUCCUUUCUAGGCUUAAUUAAACCCUUCCGAAUUGCUAAUACUAACCUCUUCACCUGUAGACCACAGGAAGAAGUCCAGAGCAAGAAACAAGAAACCAUAUCACAUUCCAAACAAGAUAUAAAAACAAAAAUAAUAAUAACAGAACUGUCCCAAUAGCUCAAAUCAAGUGCACUUUGUUUAUCACAGAAGCUGACAUACUAAAGAGGAACAAAGCACCUACCAGUUUACUUUCAGAUUUUGAAGGAAUGAAUCGUCUCUUGGGUUCAGGGGCAUUUGACAGUGGAUGCUUUGAGUCAUCCCAUUUAAACCAGUCAACAUAAGGCUGCAUGUGACAUAUUGGAAGUUUCAAUUCAACUUAGAAAUGAAGACUUCAUAUUUAAAAGGAGACUAAAUAUAUAGGGAUAUUCAUUAUAAAUAUUUGGCUACCAGAUUUUUAUUUUAUUUUUUUACUUUUCAGAAGAGAAUGCUAUUAUGUAGAAUUUGAUGGGUACGAUCUACGAACCGCAUAUGGAUCAAAGUCCCCAUGUGGCGCCUUUCCUUCAAGUAAUCUAUUUAUGGUUUUAAUAUCUUCCUUUGUCACUUCUACUUCCUCAUCAUUGUAUUCAUCCAAAAAUUUGCGCCUGACAAGUUACAAAUGUAACAUGUUACAUAAAAUACUGUAUAAUAGAUAUUUUUGGCCACAGAAAAUACCAAGUUACAUAAUAUCACCAAAAGUCUUCCAUUAAACUUAUAUGAAAAUAUCAACACUUCAAUUGAUGCAUAUCGUCUUAUAAAUUGAAACCCACCAAUUUUUGGAAUCAUCAGCGCUAGCAAGAAAGGAUUGCAAUUUAUCUUCUCUUUCCUUCUUUUUAAUCUUCUUCCCCGUGAUAUCAUAACCAAUAUGUUUCUCAUCCCGAUACCACUCCAAGGGAACAGCCCCAAUUGUAUUUCGAGGAGCAACCUGUUAUAAACAGAAAAAUGAGGGGAAAUGUACUCAAAUGCAUUAAAAUAUAAUUUAUAUGAAAAAAUCUUAACAAAACCAGAGAAAUCAACAGACCUCAUCUUCAGAUGAAUCACUUUCUUCGACUUCUUCAUGCAGUCCAGAACUAUCACUUUCCUCCUCAUUACCAUGAUCAAUGUCCAAACCAUCAUUUACGCUGGGGUUGAGCUCACCCUGCCAUGAUGCAGACUGGCACAUUUUACUUCGAAUCAUAAAACUCUAUAACACCUAACUUUCAACUAUUUGGAGGUUCAUAUUAAGAUUAGAAACCAAUAGAUAUCACAAGGGAUAAAAAAAAAUAAUCCAUAUCUUUACUUCCAUUAGCUUAUUUUCUUUCCAUAUGACUGCUUACCUCAUUUUCGGAGGAACCUCUCUCUUCAUCUUCUGAGUCUGUGUCUCUGAUUGAUGGAGAAUCCUCUGAGUCAGAUCCUUCACUACCAGACAUAUCCUAUAAUUAUACUGUCACUCAUUUAUUUUCUCUGAAAUAGAAUACCGAUUACUUAAGAGAAAAAAAAUCAAGCAGUUCCUUUUUGUCUUCAGGUUUUAUCAAAACAAAAACUGAACAUUAGGAUUGAAUACUAUCUAUUAUCAAACAUAUCUUAAUUAGACUUUAUAUCUAGACAGUGUCGACUUGAUCCAACAAUUUUUUAUAAUCUGAUAAAUUACUACCUUCUUCAAUAAAUUUUAACCCCUUUUAAAUUUAUGACAAUUUAAUAGAAUUUGUUUACAAACAAUUUGAUCAAUUACCCUAACAUCCUUGAAGGUUGAAGCUCCCUCUUUAAUCCCAUAUUAAAGUUAUGGUAGAAAGUUUACGACAACUAAGGAACCAAAUCAAUUCAACCAAAGUCAUCUUUAGUUCUCAACAAAAACAAACUAGAAGCAAUAAGCCAGUGCAUACUUGCAAUUCAAUGUCUGCUUGGACAAGAAAAUCCAAGUAUACAAUGAGAACUGAACUCUGGUCCUAUUCUGUUUACGACUUUAUCAGAAAUGUGAUAUACAUUUUUAAAUUAAGCCAAAAGAGGUGUCAAGUCAAUUGCAUAAGCAACAGUAAAUAUCAAUUCCCAGACUAACAGAACCAUGAAAAAGCUUCCACCCCUUCCCACCUUAUCCACCUAAAAUACAUCAACCUCUUAAAAGCUCUGACGCACAGCUCACCAUGCCUCAUACUUCUCCCAAUUUCAAUAAACUACUAAGGAGUUCUAUAUCCAUUUCGAAAAAUACCUCAAGAUUUGACGGAGUCCACUCAUCUUCAGCUCCGGAAUCGUAAACAGAAUCAGUGUCAACUUCCUCCUCCGGUUUCUGUUGCUCCUGUUUCGCCUCGGGAAUCUUCACCUUCAUCUUCCCCUUCCCCUUUUGCUUCUUCUGUUGCUCUUUCGCCGAGUCUGCUGGAAGAGAGCUCUUCUUCUUAGCCUUCAUUCUUUCUCCACCUGUUCUAAUCACAAAACUUAGAAAAUCAAAUUAACCCAACAAUCAAACACUAGGACACUAUAAUCUUCAAAAAUGCGAUUUUUCGAUUCUCGUAGUAAUCUAGUGAAUCACACAGAGCAACAAAUAUAGUGAACACACAAUGAGCUCAAAAAGAUGCGAUUUUUAGGUCUAAUAGUAAUAUCUGGCAACAAAGCUUGGCUCAAAACAAAACCUUACACAAUGAAAUUGGCAGAAUCAAGCUGAAAAGAAAAGGGAAUGGAGAAAUUGAAAUGGAACUCACCUGAGAAGAAGAGGCAAGGCGUCCGGGAAGGGCGGAGGGGGAGGAAGGGUGAGGCGUCGGCGCCGAAAAGUGAACCUCAGGGCCGGCGAGGGGAGAGAGAGUGAGAACUGAGAAGCGGGGAUAUGAGGUUUAGGGUUUUGGAUACUCUUUAAUUUUGGUCUGAUUAAAACCUUUUCUUCCGGGUUUUCUAUUGGACCCGACCCGGUUUAGUCGGUUAUUUCCGAAUUUGACCGUAGCUGGUAAAGACUCAAAAAAAUGGUGACAGGCUAUGAUUUACCGUGGAUAGUUAUUAUUCAGUUGAGUAAAUUACUAAACAUUGAGCUAGCCAGAGGGAUGUGUAUGUGUGUGGAAUUCUACUUUGAGCACGUACUUACAUAAAAUGGAAUUGAGAAAUGAGAUAAUGAUUCCGCCAAAAGAGAAUUGAUACGUUUGCUUACACAUAAUGGAAUUGAAAUUGGUGUAGAUCACACCUCUUAAUAAAGAAUCAAUUCUUUAACAACUCGGAAUUGUAAUACCAAAGGAGAAGGUGGGUUUAUAAAUGACACCAUCAGGAAUCAACUUUUAUGCCAAAAAUACCCUCUUUAAUUUUUAUAUGCUAAUAAUAUUGAGGAAUUUGUUUAAGAUUCUAGUAAUUUCAAUUUUUUUUUCUUUAAAGCUUUUUUUUAUAUGUUAAUAAUAUGCUAUUUGUUGAAGUUGUUUAAUUUUUUUAUUAUAAAAUUGUUUGCUUGAUUUAAAUAUAGUAUUACUUAAAAGUAUAAAAGUAUGGCGUCUUAAUUUUGUUGUUCAACCCUUUGCAUCUUAUGGGUUGAGAUACACUCAAAAUNNNNNNNNNNNNNNNNNNNNGGUUGAGAUACACUCAAAAUGCUAGUACUAGGUCCAAAUGAUGUUGGUAAAUCAUGGUAGAAGAGAGUUUAUGCAAGAACGAGAUUACAAUAUACAUAAACACACACGUAGCCUCUGUAUUAUAUUAUUAAUAUGUAAUCACAUGAUUACAAUCAAUACAAUGAAUCAAAAUAUAUAGUCCAUCUUGUUCUCCAAAAAAAAAGUUCAUCUUGGUUCGUUAAUUAUGCUCAACUUAUCAACUAAGACAAUCAAAACGACAAACAAAACUAUAUCAACAUAAAUAUGUAGCUGCCUUUUAAGGAGUAUUUUAGUAAUCGAACUCGUAAUUAGUUAUAUUCCUAUUCUAAUUCCAUAGGGUAGGUAAACAGCUCAAUGGAAUUGAAAUUUUCACAUACGAUUCUAUUCCGUCUCCCAUUCCAUCAUUCUUUCAUUCCUGAUAAAUUUCAUUCCAAGUAAGUAAACGUGUCAUUUAUGUUAAGUUCAUUCGUCGAAGUACUUUCUAUAUCUCUUCUCUUUCACUUGUUUUACAAAACCGUUUCUCGAAUAUAAAAAAAAGUUUCAAAAAGUGUCAAGUUGGCCUGUCCAAAACCGUCAUUGUACCUUCGCGUCAUUCUUAAAGUGGCGGUGCCAAGUUUUGAUUUCAUAAAACGCUAACCUUGGAAACCAUAAAUGAUUGCGUAGUCUCUUCAAGUAUUGAAAAAUCAGUUGAAAACUUUGGUGCAACAAUUCUCUUUCUUAUAAUUUCAUAUUAGUACAUGACUUCAGACGACUGUGAGUUUUUCGAUGUAGAAAUAAAGUAAGUUGUGUUAAAAAUGUGUAUCUUUUUAAAUAAAAUGACUCAAAUUUGGUAUGCACUCGGAUGGUCUAACCUAAACUUUUAAAUUUCUGUUAUAAGUAAAGAUGAAAAUUCUUCAAGAAUGUAGAUAUUAAUUUGUUGGCGAGUAAUUGUCUUUGUUUGCUUGCUUAUAUUUCUUUUCAUCUCUAUGCAAUUGUGAAGGUAGAAAGAAAGUGAUCAUAUUAUAGAACACACUUUGAAAGAUCUUUGGUCACGAAUUGUAAUUAUCGUUGAAAUUUAAAUAAAAUUGUCUAGAAUGCAACUUCCCUGAUUGAGCAGAGUUAAAAGUCAUAUUGGAAGUGACAUUCUUCACUUGGUUAACAGAACAAUUACUGCAUUACAUACCUGGGCUUUGUGUGCAUCUUGUUGAACAAUCAUGCUAACAAGUGAUAAGGAAGUUCAAUUAUUUCUGUGUGCUUGUUUCUCUUUAAAUCUGAUAUCUUCAAGUUAGUCUUGAUAUGUUGCUAAAAGCUUAAGCAUCCAAUUUUUAUUUUUUUUUGGUCAAGUAAGCAUCCAAAUUUUCAAUGUGCGAGCAAAUGCUCUCUGGUACUAAAGAUACAAAAGUUUUCACAGAAUCGAGAGCUUUUCAGAAAUCUUGAGAGAAGAGAGCUUGCAUCCUCAUGAGUGUGGAGGUAGAGUGCCAUGGCAGUACCUUGGGGGCUAGUGGGCUACAUAUAUUAGCUCACCUAUGGAAAAUCUUGGCAUGAAUCCAUUCUUUGUGGUCAUAGUUUCCUAAAUUAAACGUUCACUUUUCCUAAGACAAAUGAAGCUGCCUCUGUUUGUUAAUUCCCACAACUCUCCCACAUCGAAAAUAUUGUAGAAGGAGAACCCUUUAUAUAAACUUGAAUUACUUACACGCUUGUGUUCGUAGAAAGGAGAGAUGGUUGGCAUCUCCCCUGACAGGGACGGGAAUAGUCUUAGGACUUACCUGUUACCACAUCCGGUUAAGGCUACCCAUCCUUGUGGUGGAUCUUACCCCAAUUUUUUCUUCUUUUUUCUUUUCCCCAAACUGUUCAAAUAUCUAGCUAGCUAGUAUCUCUGAAUAAUUUUUAUAUUUAGGGUUCUGCUCAGAUUUUGCUGUGGGGUUUUAGAUAAGGGAGACAACAAACAAAACCCAAGACACACACAGAAACACCUUCCUCACUCUCUUAUGGCUACUACCAGUAGCAUUCACUUCACUGUGAACUCCUCAGAAACCAAGAGACCCAUCUUCUUCACUUCACCUCUCAAACUAAUCCCCCCCAAAAGAUUCACCAUUUCUUGCAGGUCCACCAAGUCCCCUCCUAAAUCUCCUCCAGACUUAUCACCCCCCCACAACAAGAACACCAACACCACCACCAAAACCAAAACCAAAACCCAAUCUUUGUCUGACCAACUCAAGCCUCUAACCACCACCACCCUUCCUCCCAAAGACCAACCCCAAGUCCUAUCCAAACCCAAGUCCAUCUGGGUCAACCCAGCCAAGCCCAAACGCUCAGUCCUAUCCCUCCAGAGGCAGAAGCGCUCUCUCUACUCCUACAAUCCUCAGGUCAGAGACCUCAGGCUCUUUGCCCAGAAGCUCAAUGACUGUGGCUCUUCUCAAGAAGCUUUCUUGGCUGCUCUUGAAGAAAUCCCACACCCACCCACCAGAGAAAAUGCCCUUCUGAUUCUCAACAGCUUGAAGCCAUGGCAGAAGACCCACAUGUUCUUCAACUGGGUCAAGACCCAGAACCUGUUCCCCAUGGAGACUAUCUUCUACAAUGUCACCAUGAAGUCCAUGAGGUUUGGGAGGCAGUUUCAGCUGAUUGAGGAGCUUGCUGAGGACAUGGUGAGCAAUGGGGUUGAUCUUGACAACAUUACUUACUCGACGAUUAUCACUUGUGCCAAAAGGUCCAAGCUUUUCGACAAGGCGGUGGAGUGGUUUGAGAGGAUGUACAAGACUGGUUUGAUGCCUGAUGAGGUGACUUACUCUGCUAUUUUGGAUGUUUAUGCUAAAUUGGGGAAGGUUGAGGAGGUGCUUAGUUUAUAUGAGAGAGGGAGGGCUAGUGGGUGGACACCUGACCCUAUUGCAUUUUCCGUGUUGGGUAAGAUGUUUGGUGAGGCUGGGGACUAUGAUGGUAUUAGGUAUGUCUUGCAGGAAAUGGCUGCUAUUGGUGUGAAGCCGAAUUUGGUUGUGUACAAUACGUUGUUAGAGGCAAUGGGGAAGGCUGGAAAGCCUGGUUUGGCUAGGAGUUUGUUUGAAGAAAUGGUGGCGUCGGGGCUAACCCCAAAUGAGAAGACAUUGACUGCGCUUGUUAAGAUUUAUGGGAAGGCGAGGUGGGCUAGAGACGCGUUGGACUUGUGGGAACGGAUGAGGUCGAAUAAGUGGCCUAUGGACUUCAUUUUGUAUAACACAUUGUUGAAUAUGUGUGCCGACCUUGGUUUGGAGGAUGAGGCUAAGAGGCUUUUUGAGGAUAUGAAGCAGUCAGAGCACUGUAGGCCGGAUAGUUAUAGUUACACGGCAAUGUUGAACAUCUUUGGGAGUGGAGGGAAUGCUGAUGAGGCCAUGGAGUUAUUUGAAGAAAUGUCCAAGAAGGGCGUGCAUCUCAAUGUCAUGGGCUGCACUUGUUUGAUACAGUGCUUGGGGAGAGCUAAAAGGUUUGGUGAUAUGGUUCGAGUCUUUAAUGUUGCGGUUGAAAGAGGGGUUAAACCAGAUGAUCGGCUCUGUGGGUGUUUACUGUCUGUUGUGUCAUUGUGUGAGAAAACUGAGGAUGAGGAUAUGGUCUUUUCAUGUUUGCAGCAAGCCAAUCUGAAGUUGGUUACCCUCGUGAAACUACUGCAAGAUGAGAAAGUAGGAUUUGAAGCUAUUAAAGACGAAUUCAGGGAUGUUAUUGGUAGCACUGCAGUUGAAUCCAGAAGACCCUUCUGCAAUUGCUUGAUUGAUAUAUGCAGAAACAAAAAUAAGCACGAGAGAGCUCAUGAGCUGCUCUAUCUAGGAACCCUAUAUGGUUUGUACCCGGGUUUACACAACAAGACGGCAAACGAGUGGUGUUUAGAUGUUAGGUCACUAUCCAUUGGUGCAGCUCACACUGCACUUGAAGAGUGGAUGGGAACUCUAUACAAAAUCAUUCAGCGUGAAGAGGCGCUGCCGAAGUUGUUUUCUGCUCAAACCGGUGCUGGAACUCACAAAUUCUCUCAAGGACUGGCUCAUUCAUUCGGUUCUCAUGUGAAGAAGUUGGCUGCACCAUUUCGGCAAAGUGAAGAGAAAGCUGGUUGUUUUGUGGCAACAAGGGAGGAUUUAGUGUCAUGGGUGCAAUCACAGGCGCAAUCAAUCACUGCUUAAUAUGUUUAUACUUAACUCUGUAGUUUCCAAAUGUGAAAUGUAUUACUUGAUUUGGAUCAUUGUACAUUUCACUAUAAAAUUUGCUAUAUCAGAAUAGUUUGAGGCACAAAUGUGUAAUGUAUCAUUCCAAGGAAGACAAGAUUGCCAAUUGGCUCCCCUUCCAUACUAUGAAUGCCAAAACACAUGUUUUCGACGUAAUACAGUUUGCUGUUUGGUUAUGCUCAAACUAGUACCUGCACAUUUCCAAAUAGAGCUAGUACCUGCAGAUUUGCACAAUGCCAAACUGAAAAGCACACAACUAAGUGGUAGUGUUUUAUGUUAUUCAAGCAGCGUUUUGCAACUGCUCGUGGUUAAAAAUCAGUCUUCUGUCGAUAACUUUCCAUCAAAACGGACUAAUUUCAAAAGGUUCAGUCCAGGGCGACCUAAUGCUACAGAUGAUUAACAAGUCAGUACACAAAGAUGUUGGUAAAUUUCGAACUCUUCAUAUCCGCAAUGGGUGGAAAACCCACCUUCAAAAUUACAGCUGCUCAGGUAUUGACAAGGGAAUGCUCAAAGUUCAGUAAGUAAAUUCUGUACCCCCACCAAUUUACAAAACACAUUUUCGGCUCCAGAAAAGAUACAAAAGAAAAGGCACAGAUGAAAUGGAAAGAGCCUGCACCUAUCUGCAAAUUUUCUAUUUUUCUGUUCUUUGAAGUCUAAAAAGAAAAGGGAAAAAAUAAAACAUUUUUUCCCCAAAAGAGCAUUUCCCAACUACUCCAUCUGCAAAUUUUCAUUUUCAUCACUGAACCCAAUAUCUUGCAUCUAUUUUGAUGAUGAUAUCUAACAUCAGCCUUUCGCCAUUACCAUCCCCUACUAGUUGUAUGCUUAUGCUGUGAGACAGAAAACAAAACCUAAUGGACCCCCAGAGCCUACGGUCAGCAGCAAAGCUUUCCAUAUUGCUUGCAGACUAUCUCUAGCUGAAAUUCGAAAUUGCAAUAGAGCUUGUAUAGAGAGCAUUGCUUGCUUGUGAUUAAUGUUGUCAAAGGUACUUUCCUGAUGACUUCCAAAUUCUUCCUUCAAGUGAUAUGACCAUAACAGUAACAUCAUCAUGAUACUUCCUGCGAUCUCCUUGCGGGAUGUCCAAUAAUUCAUGGAAAUCCAUUCCUGCAAACCAAAAGAGCUCAGACUCCCAACCAAAUAUGUGCAAUCCCUCCAUUUGACAUCUAUCCUGAAAUACUGUAAGAUCUAACAACUCCUUCAAUUUAUUUAGAAAUACAAUAAAUAAAAGGUUCUAGGUACACUGCUGCAAAGUUUUGAAUCAAACAACAACUCCUUAAGGUUUGAUGGCAAUGGAUAAUAUCUUUUGUCACUUUCAGUUAUAAUUUUUUUUUUUAAAGUCUAUACAUGUCUUAGGGAGGCCAAAAAAACCCUAAAUCUUAGAUGCAUAAAAAGGCACCUUCCUUGAGCUCCAGUAACAUCCAAAACCCGAAUGUAUAGUCACAGAACUCAAAUCAAAAUAUGCAUCAUCAUGCAUCCACGACAACCUCAUCCAAGAAAGAGCUUGUAUGUGCACAUGACAUAUAUGCAUAUAUCAGGCUAUCAGCAUAAAAUAGUAAAUAAAUUAAAGAAGAGAGCAAUAGGUAGAAACCACUUUUAAAUACCUUUAUCUUUCUUCAAAAUAUUAACAAAAAGUAUAACUUUAUUGAUAAAAACAAGCAGUACCAUUAAAAUAGUCAAAAUCUCUUCGAAUGUCAGCAUUACAUUUUUCAACAAGAAAAAACAUCAUAAUUUCACACGGAUGUCCAAAAAUCAACAAUUUCACCUAUCUUUUUGUUCAAGACCUUGACAAGUAUUGUGAGUCUAAAACUGGAAAAAGAAUCCAUACACUAUUUCUGACCAAAUUGUUCCAACAAAGGAGAUCUCCUUUUGUAGCACUCCGACAAAGGAGUGCAAAUAGUAAAGUGCAUGAGAGCAUAGACCUUUGGCAUCAAAUAUGAUAUUAGCUAAUCAAUCAAUCCUACCUUAGGUUAUAGAUCUUCAAAAGCACAAAGCAUAACCAUCACACUGGGGUAAGGCAAGCAGUUCCGCUCUUUGGCACAAUAUCUUAAAUAACAAAUAAAAGAAUAUUUCUCUUACUAAAGACAUGUAUGUAUUUUAAAACCCUCCUACUUUCAAUUCUUGCCAUGACCAAUCGAAAUCCUUUAAAAGCAGAAAAAAGAAGCCCUUAUAGACAAUUAUAAGAACACAUUAAUAAGGAGAAAUGACAAAACUUACCGGCUUUCUUUGCAGCACGGAAAAGAAGCUCCUCUAUCAGGUGUUGUGCAGGGUCUCCCUCAGGAAACUUCUCCAUGAAAUUCUCCACAUGAGAAACAACUUCCUGAUUGGUUAGAUACUGAUAAAGACCGUCAGAUGAGAGAAUCAAAAACUGAUCACUAGGGCAGAGCCUGUGGUGGCGAAGAGAAGGUAAACAUGAGAUGUAUGGUGCAGUACCAAUGUACUCAUUCCGAAACAUUUCCAAUAGUGGAGCAUUGAACUUGGGCUGCAGAAACAAUGCAGAUCACAUCAUUACCAUCUGUAAAAUAAUUUUCUUAUUGGACUAGGCGAAAGAAGAAAGUUGUAAAUGGUAUGUUUCAGGCAGCAGUCAAACACCAAAUCCUAGAUAAAUUUUGGCCAACGAUGAAAAGUUCUAAACUGUUCUUCUAAGAGAUAGUAGUAGUAUUCUAAUAUGUAGCGAGAUCAGAGUUAAGGCAAUCUAUGCAAAAAGUGAAAUAUAUCAAGUACAUCCAUAGGACCUGUUUCAGGAAGCCUGCCCCAAAUGCUCUAGUGACCUUAAGACGACCUUUCACUCUAUCAUUGAGAAUACAGUUUUUGUCAUCUGGGUGCUCAUUCUUGAUUCUUAUCACUUCCUGCAAAUUGAAAAGAGAAUUGUUAAACAAAGAUGAAUCCACAGUAUGACCAUGAAAGUAAUCAAAUAUGAUGCACUGAUAGUCACAAAAGGAAGGUUGGGCUGGAUAAGCAAUGAGAAUAGUAUGGUUCGAAGAAGAAACUCAGCAGUCAUCAUCAAUGAAAUGACAAAAAUGAUUGUGCAACUGCAUGUUAUUCAGUUAUUGUGAAAAGUUACUCUGGACCACUGAGGUGAAAACAUAGACAGGGAGAACCUGACAGAAAAUACUGCAUAACUAAAAAUAUAUGCAGACCAACUAAACAGUCCCAUAUGGAGACAUUAAAGUGAUUAAACAUCCAAAGGAAAAGGACACCUGCAAGGAAGCUUCCAUACAUCAUCCCUGUCUAUUGGGGAUAAUGUUGAUGAGAAACGAAGUUGGCAAGACAGAAGUAAAGAUGGAACACAAAAAGGGAAGAUUCCUCAAUUCUUUCAACCUGCCAUGUCCCACCAAAGGCAAACAAGGUGCCGAUGUGAAUUAAACAGGAUCAGGUUUAACCAACAUAUGAAACAAUGGGGUAACCAAACAGUUAAGAGACAAACACGAGCAAUAUUAUGCAGUUUUCACAUUAUCUAAGACCAAAAGAUGAUAACUAGAUUGGAAGUUGAGAAUAGGACGAAGGAAUGUGGAAAACAAAUUAGUAGUAGGAUGCCAACAGGUCAAUAAAAUUUGAAUAAACAGAAAGCAGAGUUACCAAAGGAGUUUAACCCAAAACAUAAUCCAAGAGUAACAUCUAGCUCUAGCAGUCUGCACUACGCACAUCACCAAAUUGUGUAAAGAGAAUCAUGCUGCUUUAAAUUGUAGGGAAGAGAAGCUCAAGAACCAAGAGGUGUGUAAACAAUCAUGUACUUGGUUUAAUCGCUUGAAAAAAGUUCUUAUAUUGAUGUGGAAUUUUCCAUAGAGAGACUUUUGAUAACAAGUUGAACAAACCAUAUGAUAUGUUAUUGGUAUCAGAUAUGACUGAGGAAAACCAUAGUAGCAUGAGAUAUUGAAGCCACAUCAUAUGAGGGCCUAAGAACUUACUUCUUCAAUGCUCGUGCUGUGAUCAGUGGACAGCUGCAAUGCAGCCAAUCUCAUUGCUUGAGUAGGAGCCUCAUCGCCCACAGCUGAGGAUGCCUCAGUUAUGUCCUCAGCACUCAACCCAUUGUCCUUCUGCCCCUCCGAGUUCAUGCUUGAACCAACUUCCUCCGGCUCAUAAUGCGCAACAAUUGCCCUACUAUCCCCCACAUUCAUUACAUACACAUCCUCAUCCCUCAUUAGCACAACCAACAAGCACGACCCCAUCAAAGCAAGCUCUGGAUUGGUAUCAAUGACCUUAUCUGUCAUAUCCAAAUAAGCAAGCUCGGUCACAUGUAAAGCCCUCGACAAUGCCCUCAACACCAAUUCAUGAUCGACCGGACCCUCCUUCCUUUUCCUACCAGGUGGAGCAGACCUCUCCUCCACUCUAUUCUCAACCUCAACCUUCUCUUUAUCCUCCAAACCAAACCUCCACGGAAACAACUUCUUACCAUUACCCUGGCCCUCCCUAUGCUUAGACAAUCCCUGUUUCAAUUUCGACAACAAAAGCCACCUCCUACUCUCUGCAGAACCAGCCGUACCUGCAUUGCUGACAGUAAGCGCAUCAUCCACAGAAAACGCAAACCUCUCUGAACCUGAAAGGUCAAGCCCCUCUUCAGCCUCAGCCUCGCGGAGUAACUCCCACAGCCGCCUCCUCCUCCCCUCUGGUUGAAAUGUCACUCUCUUUGUCCUAUCCCCCACCGGAGAGGGAUUUGAAUUCAACACAUUUCCAGCUUCUGAAACCUCGCCAUCAAUUUUAGCCUCCCCACCAGCUUCACCCUCCGAGGCGACAUUGGCCGAGUUAGUAGCAUUAACUUCUUGGCCAACAUUUGGUGGAUUAAUUUGAUUACCAUCUUGAGCCUCCUCCUCAUCAACCUCCCAAAACAAGCCCUGAAGCUCAUUGUAAAACGCACGGUAAAGAUUCCCCAUCAAGAACUCCGGCGCAUCGGGGCCGUUAAACCCAUCAUAAAUCCCAACAAACAGCCACCCUUGCUCCUCCGAAACCACCACAUGUACACGGUCCUCUCCGGCUUUGCCGAGAGCCCACUGGACAUUGCACUCGUUGCUCCUCCCCUGCUGCUCGUGCUCCUCCCCGUUCGCCGCCGGCCCCUCCUUCCGGCCGGCGAAGUUAUUCAGCACCGGGACCACCCACGGCCGUUGCUUCUUCUCGAAGUUGCGGUAAAACGCCUUGCGGAUCCCGGAAAUGCCCUUCUUCCGCCGCUUCUUGGGGUAAAGACCGCCGAGCGGCGCCGAGAAGUGGACCUGCCCGUCCGGUCCGGGCGGGUUGGACUCAAGCGGACCGGAGAGAGCGCCGCGCUCUAUCGGACCCGAGAGAAAGAACCCGCCCCGCUCCAUUGGCCCGGACGGCUCGCCGCCACGCGGCGCCGGCUGAAGCGGCAGAGCACUAAACGACGACGUACUCUCGAAACCAUUGACAAUACUGCCCCUGACUCCGCCGCCGAAGCCGCCGAGGACACUCUCAGUGGCAUCGUCGUAAAUAUUAUCAAGCUGCAGCACAGUCCUCGGCGUGGAGCUGUUGGCACUGACGGACGCGCCGGAGAUUGCCUUGAACCCGGUCUCGUGCAACCCGACCCGGGCGCGGGUCGCCGCCUCGUGCGGCGGCGAGAAGCGGAGCGAGUUGGAAGGGGAAAGAAAGCGAUCCGACUGAGUCGGCGAGAGAAACCGAGCCGAGGACCUGACGUAGCAGAAGGAAUGGCCUAGGGUUUCGUCGAGCUGCUCGGAGGCGGAGAAGACGACGUCGUUUUGGUCGGGAGUACGGUUGGCCGAUCUGAAGCAAGAGGAGAGGGUGGAGACUCCACUUCCCAUCUCUCACAUUUGACUCGGCUCGACUCCUUUUGACUUCUCACCGGAGAAACCCAACAGAAAACAAAAAAGAAAAAAAAGAGGCUUCGUCUCUCUCUGUCUCUCUCUUUCUGGCCUACGCGAUUUUCCGGCAAAGCUCAACAACCCAAAUAACACCAAGGGUCAUUUUUUCUUUUUUCGAAAUUGAAAAAAGAAAAAGAGAGAGAGGGAGGUAAGUGGGGUUGUUUGUUUAUUAUUUAUAGUUGAGAAGACUCACUGACCUUGGUUUUUAUAGGGAGAGAGAAAAAGGAAACUGUUUUCUUUUUUUUACGGUUACACCUGGCGGGGUAGGGAGCCACGUAGGAUGACAGGUGGCGGGGGUGGGGUCUGGAGGAGAGGAAAGUGGUGUGACUAUUUUGACCCUGAUCAGGGCACCGUCACUGUUUGAACACAACCCCUACUGUUUAGGGACUGUAGGGUCAAGGUGGAAAACCGAGGCGGGAGAAAAAGGGUUGUCCUUUAGGGGUGCUUUUGUCCUUUUCGUUGGCUUUGGAUGACUGGGACACCCGGCCCAAGGCCCAAUCGGGGUUGACCACCCCCUUUCUCUUGCGUGUUGAAUUACUAUGUUACCCUUCUUGGAUAAAGCCUAGCUGGAGUUAAAUGCAAUCUUGGUUUUUGAAAUUCUUUGUGGACUUAAUGAAGGGUGUAGUAGGAGUCAACAUUCAUUAGUGUGGAUGCUUGUUAUGGUAAUUUCAAUCAAUUUAGGUGGAUAAUAGUUUAACCGUCGGGCUGUAAUAAAUUUAGAGAAGAAUGAUGAGAUGUCUCAAAACCUCUCUUUUCAAGAUUUUUUUUUUUUAAAUUUUAAUUUUUUAUGAUCUGAAAGUUACAUGUAUACGACUAUACGUGUCGCUCGAUGACUCAAAACUUGUUGAUUAUAUCUUAUCCACCACGAGUUUUGAUUCUUUUCAAUGAGGCGUUUUGAAGCAGACAAAAACUCAGCUGCGUGUGUCGCGUUGUGUUCAUGAACAAAACGUGAUUCUUUCUCAUUGAGAGUUGUCCACAUAUUAUAAUCUCAUUCAAUUUAAGCUGUAAUUUUAUUGACCAUGAAUAAUAAAUUAGAACUUAUCACAUAUGUCUCAUCUGUCAUGAUUUUUUAUUCUAUAAAUUAGUAGUUCAAAAGCGAACAAAAACUAAAUAGCGUGAAUCCUAUUAUGCUCAUCAACAAAACGUGAUUCCUUUUGUGCGCUCAUGGGACCAUAUUAGAACAUCACAACAAGUAAUCAUUAUACAUAUACCCAAGCUUUUUUCCGUAAGACUAUUGUGAAAGUGUUUCGAUUCAAUAUUUUUCAUGAACUUUAUUUUGGUCUUCCAUGGUCAGUAGUUAGCUUGAGCCGAAAUCACACCACUGUGAGCAUCGAUCAAGAGCACCCUACCUUUGUCAACCUCGCGAACUCCACCGCCAGUAGCUUUGAUUGUACGUGUGAGUUGUGACAUCGAGAACCAAAGCAUUUCUAUACAAUGUGAGAAGUUUUUAAAAGUGUGAUUGACUUUGAAUUAACUUAGAUUAUGUUUAAACAUUCAAUCAAGAGGCAAUGGAACCUUAUUUUGUUUGUGAUGAUCGAUAAAUCUAAAUAUUAAUACAUACAUAUGAUUCCUUAUGUUUCCAUACCACUUUAAAUAAACUCAUUAUGUUGUCACUUCUUGACAAUUGGACUUUGCUAAAUUCAUACUUAAUAUAUUAGGAUCAUAUCAUCCCCAAUAUUUUAAGAAUGACCAUGUUAGCUUAAAUAUUAACUGUUAAACAAAGUGGUCAGUGUAUUAAAACCAAAACACUAUUAUUACAAGUAGUUUGAUCUCUUAUUAGAGAAAGUAGGGAGGAAAUUAUACUUAUAAUACACUUGCAGAUGUUAUAGUUUUUGUCUUUUAAUUGGUAAGAAACUUUAUAUUUUCUGAACUACAACCCCAACUAGUUCAUAGAGCUAGCAGAUGAAUUUACCAUAUUUAUACAAAACCAGACUGAUAUUAUAUUAGUGUUUUUAGAACAAGUCAAUAAGAAGGAAAAGCAAAACACAAUUGAGAAUGACUAAUGUCUUAUAUAUAAUCAAACAGAGAGCACGAACUCAGGUCACUCAACAUAAAAUAAGGAGCUCUCAAAAACAAAACAGACAUAAAAUAUAGAUGGAAGCAGAAAAUGAUAGGGAUUAAAGAAGUAGCUCAUUGAACAUGACAUUAUAGGUUAAAAUUAAGAAAAUAAUUAGAAUAAUAAGUAGCUGGUUUAAGGGGGGGGGGGGGUUUGUUUUUGGGUGGGAGCAAAGGGUUUGGCUUUUAGAAAAGAAUCUGGAAGACAAAGAUUAACAUAGUCUUACUGCAAUUCCCACUAGUUUUUAAAGGGGAGGGAGUAAGAUUCAACCUCAUCAGCUACCCAGGAAUAAUAGCAGAAAAAAGAGAGAGACGUUUGGUCGACGGCAGAACAGUUGGUCAACGACCGAUGUCACAUUGUUGGAUUCGUCCAAGAUAGAUCCCCUUCUUCUUUUACGUUUUAUUAUUUUGGGGUUUCAUUAAUGACUCUGGUUUAAAUUGGUUAGGGUAUGGACCAAAGUUCUCAAACCAUGGAACCAUGAUAAAAUUAAUGCAACAUUCUCUAAACCAUGAAAAUUUAAUGCAAAGUUCUCAAAUUAUGAUGAAUACAUUGAUAAAUUUAUAGUGUGUGUUUCAGAGUCUAAGAGAACAUGAAACCGUGAAACGGUUAGGACGACCGCAAUUGAGUAAAUAUAACUUUAGAGCGAAAAUGACUUGGCACCCUCUUUUAUUUGUCAAUGAUUCAAUAUUAUUUUGUAAGACUAACAAAGAGAAAGUAAACUUAAAAAUUUGGUUGAACUAGAUUUUAGUCAGUAGAAUUCACAACAUAUGUCAAAAAUUUAGCUCCCCCGAAUAUGUAAGAGAAAGAGAUUGAAUCGAUCAAACAAUUGGACGCCUUAUUCUUGAUAUCACAAAGGUGACACUUUAAAUCGAUCAAUACAAGUCAAUUUUACAAAAUCUCACAUCCUAAUCGUCCAUACUACUAUCAAUCAAAAAUAUCAUACCACAAAAGUGUGAUUGAUUGGUACAACUUAAUUUCUCAAAAAAAAAAGAUUGGUACAACUUAAUUUUGACAUGAAACCACAUCCCGACCGAAUAGUUAACCACUUUCUAAGAUACAUCCAAUCUUGAAACCAUAACCAUGAUUGAUUAGUGAAAUAUAUGUUGAUGCAAAUUAAUGGAAAACGAAACAAACUCGAUGAUUAAGGUGCAUUACAUACAAUAUGCUACAGUGGAGUGAGUGGGGGGGGUGCUGGAUUUAGUGCAUCUCGAUUUUAGGAAGAAAAGAAAAGGGUGAGAUUUUGUGAUGGCCAGAUAGUUGACUCUGCUGAACCAUGUUGUUACGUGCCGUCAAGGAUUGGCAGUGCAACCACCACUCAAAACCCACUUUGAAAAUCUUCAAAAUCGAUCAAACCACCACAUUUUUUCAUUUUUCCUUUUCUUUUACGACAAAUUGAAAGUUUGAAACAACAUGCACCACUACAUGUACAAUGUUUAGUCAUGCUCGUCCUGCAACGUCCGUAGAAAGGAAAGGACAAUAUUAUUUGACAAUACAUUUCGACUUGUUUUCAGAACUAAUUUUUUAAAUUUUCAUUUCUAAACAUUUUCUAUUUUUACGGUCGGAUACUCUCAUUCAUAACACUUGUUAUUCAUCUUACUUAUUAAUUAAAAGAGUUCAAACAUGCGGAGAUAUUGACAGUUUAACAACAUAAUAUUUAAUUCUAAGAAAAUUCAACUACUCAAUGCUUUUAAUAAAUCUCCACCAAGAAAGAUGUUGAAGCGUCAUCUCCAAGGACGAUGUUCUCUCAACCCUAUCAAUGCUAGAUUGCGGUUUAAUGUAUCAUACUACCAUAUGUAGAUUACUUUCUUUUUUUUUUUGAAAGGAUGUAGAUUACUUUUUUAACAUUACACCAAGUAACAAGUGAGAAUGACAAAUCCGGUGAAUUAGACUUUCUAAUAUAACUAAAAAUAGUUAUUAGAUGUUGACGGUUUAUCGACAUAAUAAUAUCUUUUCCGAUAAGCUGAAGGAGGAGAAAACAAUCUAAAUUUAUACGUCAACUGUUUGACAAGAAAAGAUUACAAAGUAUAUACAACAUCUGGGGAUAGACCUGGUCCAGAUUCCAAAUCGAUUUUAUUCUUAUUUAAAUUUGAUGAGAGAGUGAGAGGUUUGAUUUUUCUGGGUUGACAGCAUUUUUCAUUUUUCUGAUUUGUCUUUGUUCUAGUGGGGGACCUUCAGUAUCAAAAGGCUCAAUUUGUCCAAAGCCACUGUAGCAACGACGAAAACUUAAAAAGGGAAAGAAAAGGAAAAGAAAACUCAAACUUCUUUAGUUUGAAAUCAUCAAAAAGAAUUCAGUAACCAUUUCAAACACAGAUUCAUCUUAAUCAUUUUAAGUAAAUUUCAGGUUAGUAAACAUGUCAUUAGUUCGAUAUAGAGGUAAAGUAGCUCGAUACAUAAAUAGACUAGCUAUGAAGUCGGUCUAAGUUUGUACAAAGUCAAGCUAGUCUGCUCAUGUAUGAAAUAAGCCUAUUUUUGCAUCAAAAGUAGUCUAGUUCAUGCAUUAGUACAUUAAUGCAUGGUAGAAUAAUCCUCAACACUCAUUGUAGCUAUAACAUUAUUAGCUUUGUGUGUAGAUAGAUCUUUUAAUGUAGUCACAUUAUUAUGUGACAGAUUUGGCAAUUGCCAUUGCCGUCUGCUAUAGGCUGAAAUUAAUAGACAGACCCAACCAAAUCUUGGUCCCAUUCAUAUAUUUCAAACCUUUUCACUAUAACAAACAAGGAAUGAGACUUGUCAAGCAAUACAUUUUAUGUUUCAUAGCCUUUAUUUUCAAGUAUCUGCAGUGGUUCUGCAUAGUACAAAAUGGUACAUGACCACAUGUUCUUCCAUUGAGACUAAUCUUAAUACCUAGUGAACCGGUAGGCCUCAGAUUUUAGCAACCAUGAAAACCUUCAGGUCGUAGUCUCGCACCGGAUACCGAGCUUUGAAGUACAAUUUCUACACAUUUCUAGCGACCCAUGUGGUGAAGCCAGUAUGAGGUGACGGGGGCAAGCGAGCCACGGUAAGAACUUACUUGUUCCAGCGCUUGCAACCCUUUAUAUAGUUCAACACAGGAAAGUGCAAAGAUGAUUUUGAUCCUGUCAUGUAGGAUGUGACUAUGCCUCUAGCAUAUAUCUAAAUUCAACUUUCAAGCAUAAACUAAGCCCAUUUUGGUUGAUCUCCAAUAAUCUAUACAGGCAUAAUUCUGAGAUGUCCAUAAAAACUAAAUGCACUAUUUCCAAAAUUAGGUUCAACCUCUGCAGUCAUUUACAGAAGAUAUUUCACUUUGAAUACAAAUAUACAGGCUUUUAGAUUAUCAGGGGAGGGGGAGUAAGUAAACAGAGACACUUCUAACCUUACAAACUACUCAGAAACCCUAGAAAGCAAAAAACUUGCACAUAUUUCCUGGUUCAAUAAAUAACCUUCAAUAUUGUGAGUGAACAAACAUGGCGAUCAUAUAAUAGAUGCCAGGCUCAAAUCUGACCUGUUCGUAUGUCCCCAUCAAGACGUUCUGCAUUAAGGGUCCCUGGAAGCUCUCUAAAAUCUUCAUUGAAAAUCGAAUAUGCACUGCAAAAUAAAACCACAGUAAAGACACAGAAAAAUUAAAUAUGGCAUUGUUUACUUGUAUAGUUAUUGAAAGGUAAACUAAUGCAAAAAGAACCUCAUCUGUGUAGUGACAGCCACAGAAGAUAAUCACAUACACAGAAAACAGGAAAGAGGAAAGAGGGGAAGAAAGUGAUGGGAUGAGGAUCAAGGAAAGAGAGCAAACCUGACAUCGCCAGCCUUCCGCUGUCCUAGAUUCAGAAGAAUGAUACCAAAACCGGUGCCUAGUAUCUGAAGAUAUAGCAGUCAAAACGACUUAAUAAGACAAUAAAAAAGAUUGUUUCAUGACGGACAUUCAAUUCAAGUUUAGGAGUAUCUGCUGUGAAAAACUCUUAGAGAAAGAGUCACAGCAUCAAUAAACAAUAGGAACUAAAAGAAAAGAAAAAACUUACAUAUAAAGGGCCAACAUCCCAUCUGUGGGCCACAGGUGCCAAUAUAAACCACAUAAUGAUAAUUACCCACAUCUUCAAACUGAGAGAGAAAAUGGCCAUCAAAAGAAUAUCUAUCAAUGAAAAAUAAAGAGGUUAUGUCAGCAAUGUAGACUGUUACUGUUUAGUUUUACAAACUGUUCAACUUGAUGCCUAAUUACUCACCAGGAAGCUUCAACUUAUCAUGUAGAACAGCAUAAACUCUCCUCUUCCACCGGCUUGAAGACUGAGGAAGCUGAAACUUCUGGUAAAUAAACAUCAAGGAAAGACUAUUAAAUACUGUACUUGAACAAGUAUUAACUCUUUUCAGUUGGAUAACUAAUUCAAUCAGAUAUGUACCAGAUCAUCUUCAUCGUCAUCAUCAUCAAAUCCAUCCCGAAGAUGCUUAGCUGGUGGCUUUGGUUUGACAGCAACAAUAAGAGAAUCUAGCAAAGAACAAAAAUGUGAUAAAUAAAUUCACUACCAUUACUAAUGGCAAUACUGUAGUGUUGACUAAGAAAGUGGGGCUUCUACGCCUAUGCAAUUUGACACCUGUUCACAAACUGUUGGCAAGUAAUAACUGUGGUUACAAAAGAAUAAAGGAGGAAAGUGUAUACUACUUAUAAUCCUGUUUAAAUCAAGAUAUGUUUAACUUUCAAUGAAAAUUUAAAAUAUAAGUACAUUUUGUGAGAAGUAAAAAUUUGGGGGGGGGGGGCACGCAAUUAAAGGGAGUCCUGGAGGUAAGCAGCACUACUCCCAAAAAAAGCUUAAUUUGGAGUCCAGGGAAGUAUUGCAGGUAUAAUUGCACCCAAGUAGUCAAUUAAGGUGGUCAGUAGUUUUAUAAAAGUAAUAUGGAGUGAAUUAAGUGAAGCGACCACAAACAACCAUCUCAAACUCUUAAUAGUAUAGGACAAAUACCGUGAAACUCUGAGCAAUUUCCACAGUUAAUAGAAGCAACAAAAUCAAGCAAAGUUUAUACUAAUCUUUGAGAGAAACAGAUGUUACAUGAAGUAAAUAUAAUCAAGGGACUAAUAAAGUAACAAGACCAGUACCGCCAUCCUUGAGAUGGAGAUUCACAUCUUGCCCACUUUUGCUGUCAUGCAACACAUUGCCUCGCAUAAUAAGCUUCAACUUUUCUAAUGGUAACUGAUAAUUUUCAGCAAUCAACUUUCUUAAGUCAAGCACCUGUUAAAAGACAAAAAGUGCAACCAGAUUAUCAUGAUAUGCAGUGACACACCUCUUAAUAUUUGGAACAGAAAUGCUAUUGGACAUAUAACUACAUGCAAGGAAAUCACAAUAAACAGUAAAGCCUUUACAAACAUUAACAUUCUGACAAUAAAUUUUCUCACACACUUUAGUGCCGCUACAUAUCUUUCAGAAACUAUGAGAAAAUACAUCGGAACUCCAGAUCAGACACAAAUAUUUGAUAGUGUUUUGGAAGGAAUAAAACCGAGGCAGUACAUGUUUAAUAUAUAUAUAUAUAUUUUAAUAGAAACAGAAGAACCUGAUGUUAUCCAACAAAAACUGUAAACAAGAACUCAGAAUCACACAAAAACAGGAAACACAACUUGCCGAAGACUCAGAAAGAGAAUCAUCUUAACCGAAGAGAAUUACCAAAGUCAUGCAGUCCCUGGUAAACACGCCCAGCAGGAAUACAAAAGUAUUAAACUAGGGGAAAAAUAAGACCACAAUGAGGAGGCAAAAACCUUAACCCUAUCCCAAACUAACUCCUCCGUUUCUUUCUAACUGUGGGCCCGUUAUUCCUUUCAAACAGAACUAUAACUUUAUAACUAAGGAGCAAAGUUAUUAACAAUUUAAUUAAGCUAUCUUACAAGGAAAAAGAAAAAAGUUAAAGAAAUCAACUGCCUACGGACAAGCCUUCAGAUUUUCAACCGUACAAGCCAGUAAAAGAAUCUGUUACAAAUGAUGAUGACAGCAAAAAUGAGAGGAAAAAAAAAAAAAAAAAAUCCUAACAUUAAACAACAGAACCACCCCCACAAAUAAGUUAUCUAUCCUGGGAUAAUAAGAAUGUGUAAUACUAUAAUGCGGGUGCUUUUCAGUUCGCUUAGAUAUAGAAUAACAACAAGCUGAACUGGAAACAAAAGUUGAAUACCCAGCAACCACAAGCAGAACUGUAGAACAUGCAUAUAUAUAUAUAUAAUUGUAUAUCAGGCCUUUUCAGAUACAAACAUCCUUAUUUAUUCAAAAGGUACGGAUUUUCUUAAUUUGACCCACUUUUUUGAUCAUAUUUUCUCGUCUUAACCGUUCACAUUGUAGGUAUAUAUGAGUAGAUCAUCUCUACAAAUUUUCAACUAAUUUGGACAUCGUUAAGGUAUCGAAAAUGAAUUAAAUCAAUGAACGAAUUGAAACUGUUCAACCUGAACCGUUUGUGUUUUUAGUUCUAAAUCACAUCUUUGAAUGCUUUAACGAUUAUCAAUUUGGCUGAAAAUUUGUAGAGACGAUCUACUCAUAUAUACCUAUAAUGUGAACGGUUAAGAUGAGAAAAUAUGAUCUAAAAGUGGGUCAAUUAAGAAAAUCCGUACCUUUUGAAUAAAUAAGGAUAUUUGGACCUGAUAAUAAAUUUGUUGUGUGUGUGUGUGUAUAUAUAUAUAUAUUACAUAACACAAAUAAUUAGUAAUUUAGCAAGAACCCACUGAGAAGGAUUACUAGAAAAAAAAAAAAGGAAAGUAAGUCAAACAGAGACUUGAGACAGGUUACAAUAAUAAGAAGCAGUAAGUUACAUUUAGACAACAAGAGUCAUCCAUUGCCUUCACCAAAAAUAAGAACCCGCAUUAAGUUUUGAGCCCUCAGACCUCAUAUGUAACAAGUUAAAGACAGUGAAGCUUCAUUGAAAGCCAUUCGACAUUUGGGAACACCACCAGAGCAUCACCAAAAAUUUAAAUAAUAAUAAUAAUAAUAACAAUGAAGAAGCAGGCAGCAGCAGUCAUUGGUGAUGGUCAUAGUGGUGCAACAAAUGGAGGCUUAAAAUAAAUACGAAACACUGCUCUAUAAAAUGAGUUUCCAUCAUUGGGCAUAUAAUAGAAGAACGUGUUGAAACAAUCCGAAUGAAACCAUCAAAUGGGGCCAAUCUGGUUUUCCAUAGAAUCAUGACCCUAUUCAACUCUAGACAUGGAGAUGUAAGAAACACACAUAAUAGUAUAAAGAUAUAUCAAACCAAAGCUGAACUAUAUAUUCAAACUGUGCUAUUGUAUCCCAUACAGGACCCCACUACCAUUUGCAGUUGACAUGAGUCCCACAUAAUUGAAUUAGCAUUCAGCAGAACCUUUUAAAAGAGAUCACAUGUGGGCCCAACCCUAAAUGAAACCGAUGAUCCAAAGUCCGAGUCGUCCAUUUCUUCUCAUUAAAGAUCAUAUUUACAAGUUUUCUUACUGAAAGAAAAAAGAAAAAGAAAAAGAAAAAAAACAAACUAAUAAUCCAAUUUUAUUGUUCAACAGAAUCAUACAAUAAAAGUGGAGAAGAGAUCCAAAAGAUCAUACUUAUAAGUUAUAACAUAGUAUCUGAACCGGAAACCAUUUAAUCAUUUCACCUUACUACAAAACUAGACAAACACAGUUUUUCCACUAAGCGCAUAAUUGGCAAUAUGCGGCACAAUCUUAAAUGUAGUUCUAAAUUUGGAUGUAUCAGAGCAUCGGAUCACACCGUGAGGCGGCUCCAACAGUGCGAUCCUUUUUGGUUCUCGUCAAAAGGGAUAACUCAUGAGCACGAAAUUCUACAUAUGUGAUUUGCCCCUUUCCCCAUAUCUGGCAUGAUGUAUUACCACACAGUGAACUGAGACAGCACAAGCAAACAUGUUUCCAACACAGAAAACAUAAUGUUCAAAGUCUGGCAAGAGGAAUUUCUCUUGCCAAAAAACAAAGCCAGAGAACUUGUAUCAUAUAUCGCUUUAAUCAUUAAUAUCAUUAUUCUUUAACAGGGAAACAUCUUUUGUUAGAAGGAAGAAAGGUACAUACAAGAAGAGGCUCAAGACAACAAUGCUAGAUAAAAGACAUGGAUAUCAAUUCAAGAUAGAAGUCUCAGUAGUAUCGUGCAAAAGAACAGUAGACAACAGUAGCAUUCCGAUCAUAAAGAAUAGCGUUGAAAGAGCUAUGUCUGAAUUCCAAGGUAACCCAUGCCCCAUAGAGAUACCCAAACGAGCACUUUCCAACAAACACCCCAGCUGUUCAGACAUUCCAAGGCCCCCCACACAUUCUCGAAACUUAAGCACAAGACCUGCUAACCGAUUCACACUUUCUGUUCUGAGAUAUUCAAACCACUUAACAAGAUGGGAAACUGCGAUAGGCUGGUUCAACUCAACAGGUAAGAUGCUCUAUCAAAUUGUAAAUACAAACACUCGAGCAAAAGGGUUUAGCUGCAUUGUCUCUUUUUAUCCAUCAGAUGUUUUCUAUCACACCAAUCUAUUUUCAUAUACCCUUUUCAAUUCUUAAUCUUUUCAACAUAAAGUUCCCCGGGCCGGUUGAAGCCUCAUUAAAUCAGAUCCGAUACACUAUCUUAAUGCUACCUGAUACACUAGAGUACAAAAUAAGUUCAGAAACCCAGCUCUGGCAAUGUCUACACUAACAGAGACAAUGUCUGAAUUGCUAGACCUAGACAUUGUAGUUUCAAAAUUACGCAACUUUCCUCCACCCAAUAGCUACCAAACUCACAAAGGCUUAAAAAAAUCAAGAAUUUCAAUCAAUCAUCACUGAAAACACAAAAACCCAAUUCAAAUUGUGCAAUCAGAGCAUCUGGGUCGUCGUCAUCAUCAUCAUCAUGCAUUCGCAUAUAAAAACAGAAGUGAAGGAGAGAGAGACGUACAGUGAUUGAAGAGGAGACUUGGAGACGAGAAGGGCGAGAUGGGCCGAUGGUCCGUACAAGGAUGUCAACCUUGUUAAGAAAUCUAGGGUCGCCAUUGCACCUGGGAUUCAUGUGUUGCUCUACAAUCUCAGCCAUACCAUAUCAAAUUAUCAACCACCCCCAAACUUGGUGGGUUUUGCUUUCCUCUUUGCGUUUUGGGCAUCAAGUCCUUGUUGUAUCAAAUUUCUCAACAAUGUCGGUGUACAAGAGAAAUUUAUUUAUUUAUUUUUUUAAUUUUUUUUUUAAGGAAGCUAAAAGCCUAAAAGGCCAAACAAAAGAAAAACAAAAAAAAACUACAGACUAAAUAGCGGAGCAAAACCCAGUUUUUCGUAAGGCUGGCAUUGGUAGGUAUAUCAACUAUAUUUUUCAAUACCAUAUACCAACCAACUUAAAAUUGGUAGGCAAAAUCUUGUACCAAAACCAACCGUCAAAGUUGGUAUACCAACUUAGUUGGUACGGUUGGUACUCGGUUGGUACGGUUGGUAUUGGGUCUCUACCAAGUUUAAAUUGAGGCCCAACAAACUGAAAGGCCCAGCUCAUUUAAAUCCUUUUUUUGGGCCUAUACCAAACUUCUAUCAAUUAUCAAACUAUUCAAAGUUCAAACACAUUCAAAGUUUCACACAUCAUAAUAUCAUAUAAUUUCAAAUGCAUAAACAAGCAAGAUCAAAACUUUAAAAGUUCAAAUGCAACAAGCCAACAACAUCCAAAGUCUUAUAUAGAAAAUUAAACAACACAUGUCCAAUGAAAACACAAAAGUUCAGAUUAGCAGGGAAAGAGUGAUGUUGUGAGGCCGGGAGAGUGCUAGACUGCUAAACACCUCUAUCUUAAUUAAUUAAAUUCAUCAACUAUUCAACUAACUGGACCUGUACCCCGAGCAAGUUUAAGAAGCAAGCUAUAUAUAGAUUCAAACAGGUUGUCUAUCUCUCUAUCUAUCUCCUCAUUCAAACCCUACCCUCUUCUUCUUCUCUCUCAUUCUCUCUAACUUGAACAAAAAUCAACAUUGCUACCCAAUUCACUCCUACUCUCUAACUAUCAAAAGGUCCAUUCUUUCUUCCAAGCUAUCGACAUUUCAUAAUCUACCUUCUAAUCAUCCAACUGAUGAAUUCAUAACUCUAAAGCCAAUGCAAAAUAAUCGAAACAAGCACCGAAACACAACAAAUCAUAUCUCAAAUCCAAAUCACCAUCAAAAUGUUCACAGAGCAUAGAACACAAUCAACACAUAGAUUGAUAGAUAACAAUCAUAACACAUAGAUUGAUAGAUACACAUAGAUAAUAGAUUGAUAGAUACAUACGGAGAUUCGAGGCUUGGUGCUGCGAAGUCGACGGCGAGUUGAGGCGCUGCCCUUCGUCGAAGAGUCGAGACACUGCCCAGCGUUGCCCUUCGUCGGAGAGUUGAGGCGAUGCCUAGCGCUACCCUUCGUCGGAGAGUCGAGGAGCUGCCUAGCGCUGCCGAGUCGAGGUGGCCGAGGUGCUGCUGAGUUAACGACAAGAGAGGCGAGGUGGCUAGAAGUUGAGUCGAGGUGGCGGAGCCGAGGAGGUGUUGCGAAGUUGAGGUGGUCGAGCCGCGGGGGUGCUGCGAAGUAGAGAGAUGAGGCGAGACGCGAGAGAGACGAGCGUGAGAGGCCGAGACCUGAGAGUGACUGUGAGUUAUUGAGAAUAGAGUCAACUGACUCAACUCAACUAACUAACUAACCUAGGUUAGAUCCACAGUCCACAGAUCAACGGCUUAGAUUAAUAGUUUUAAUCUUUUCUUUUUUUUUAAUAUAACUCGGUUGGUACAUGGUAUACUGUGUUUUGGGAAAAUCUGUACCAUGUACCAACCGACUUCGAAAACUUGGUACGGUACUACUGUACCGAAAACUCAGUUACCAACUACUUGGCAUACCAAUUUGUUUGGUACGGUUGGUACGUGGUUGGUUGGUAUCGCCAGGGUCCAAAUUGCCACCCCUAGUUUUUCGUGCUCUAGUAACACCAGCAAGAAUGUCGGUGUACAUAUUGUCCUAAAAGAGAUUUUUUUUUUAGUUACAGAAGGGACCUAAAAGGCCUAAACAAAAGAAAAACAAAAAAACUACUGACUAAAUACUUGAGCAAAGCCCAGUUCUUCAUGCUCUAGUAACACCAGCAAGAUCAUCUAAAACAACUUGAGCAACAUGAGCAGGGAAAUCAACAAAAAUGAUCAGACCAAGAUCAUGGUUGAUACUAUCCUUGGCCAAGGCAUCACCUACCAUAUUGCACUCUCUGAAAAUGUGAUUAAGCUUUGCAUUCUGCAAAUUAGCCAUCAUUGUAACACAAUGAUGAAUCCCAUUAUCAAACGUAAGCAUGAGUUGAACUAGCACAAUCACAAGGUUGAGCUAAAAGAGAAAUUUUAUUCACACAUGCACACUUCUAUUUUUUUAUAAUUCUUUUUAAUACAAUUUUACCCUUUUUCAUGAAGAUGAACAAAAAAAAACUAAAUAAAUAAACAAAUUUCAGUUUGGAUGCUAAGCUUUUAAAGAAUUAUAUAUAUUUACUACUUUGAGAAUCGGUAGUCUGCAAGCUUCCUAAUGAUAUCAAAUUUUCAUACUAUCUCGACUUAAUGAAAGUGUUGGAGGUUAUUUGAGUGAGAAAAUCAGUAAAAAAGAAAUUACAAAUCUGAAAUCAAUUUGUCUCCCUUGAUUGUUUGUUAAGCUUCAUUAGCUUACCAAUUGAUUUUAGUUGAAAAAUUGAUAGUAUUAAUCAUAGAGAUGAGAAUACAGAGUGAUAGAUUACGGAGCAACAACUUGCUUUGAAUUGGUUUUGAAUGAAGAAAGAAGAUGAUAGGUUAAAGAGUGUGUAUAAGUAAAAUAAAGAGGGCAUAAGAGGAAGUUUGGGGGAAAAAAAUUAGAUAAAAAAAAUAGAUGUGUGUAUUAAGUAUAUAAAGGUGUGUGAAGAAAAUUUUUCGUCCUAAAAAUAUACUAAUUUUUAAUUUUUUUAUUCAAGAUCACGGCAUUCCAAAGGCUUUCUAGACCUAAGGACUAAUCUGCUAGGGGCCCGGACAGCCAGCAGGGCAUUGCAGCCCCUCCUCUGGCCACUUUUGACAGUGUCGUGAUUCGAACCUAAGUUAGGGAGCACACCUAACUAGGCAAUAACCACUAGACUACUUUCCAGUGGUUAAAAAUAUACUAGUUAGCAAAGAGUUUUUGUUUUCUAUAGUUUAUGUUUGGAAAAACUCAUAUAUCACUAGCCAUGGUUAUAAGCAAUUGUGUUGCACCAUAAGACUCUUGGAUCAUCAUGGAGUUUAAGAAAAAGAGAAACAAAGAGCAAAAUGUGUUGUUAACAUGUUAUAAACUAAAGAAAUAAGAGAGAACGAUAGAGAGAGAUAGAAUGUGAGAAGAUGAAGAAGUGUAUCAUUCAUUCUCAUUAGACCAUUUUAUACAGGAGUAAUGUUUACAACAUAAGGACAUAAGUACUGAGCAUUUACAUAGACAUCCACAUAAUUAUAAUAUUUACAACAUUUAUAGAAAUGUAACAAACUGGAUUUUUUUUUAAAUACACAAUACUCAUAAUACCCAUGUAUGUCAUCAUAUCGCUAUGCCUUAUGGUCACGUAUUGAGCAUCCCCUACAUGAGAAUCUCUCGAGUAUUUUAACACGUGAAAAAAAAAAAUCAGAAUUUGGCCUAUGUCCCACCUUCUUAUUGGAAAUCGGUUCUUGAUUUCCUAAAUUCUCAAGAAUUUGAUUACGAAUGGGAGAUGUUUUUAUAAAUCAACACCAUUCGAUAUUUAUACCAACUCAUUUUUUCUCACAAUUCAUUUAUUCUUGAUUCAUGGUUUUAUUUUCAUGCCAAAUAAGUAAACGUGUCAUCAGUCUUUUUUAUUAAACACAUAUGACUGAUCAGAUUCACAUGUUCCUCAUAGUCCCUUAAAAAUGGUCAUUGAGCGAGCAUGCUCUCUAGUUGCUCAUAAAUAAUUUCACAAUGAUUUACUAAACUCUCAUAAAUACUUUCUUAAGUGAAAAUUAUCGACACUUUCAUGGACCGGUUUAGCCCCUAGUAGGCCCAAAAAGCAGUACCAAAUAAGUGAGGUGUUUGUAUGGUGUCUUAGGAUGAGCUUCUUGUUGCCAACCAUUCAUCGAAGAUAAAACGACAUAUCCUAAGUUUGUGUGCCAUUACUCUUUUGUUUCAUAACAGCCUUUGAGGUUUCAGAUAACCCAAGCAAACCUCACACAGACACAGAAGAGAGAUAACGUAGCAAAACCAUGGCACUGAGAAUGUGGGCUUCUUCUACAGCCAAUGCUCUCAGAAUCUCUGGUGGUGCCUCCAAAGCUCAACUCUCCCCUGCAUUCUCUCUUUCCAGAUGCUUUUCCACUGGUACUACUUCUCACUUUCUUUAACUUGGUCAACGGCUUUUUUCUUUUGGCUUCUUUUACUUUUAGUGCUAAGGGUCAACUAGAAGUGUGGUCUAGAUUAUAAAGUGCCUAGCUUUUUCACUGGAAUCAAAGAAUGCUGCUAAUGCAUGUAUGCUUAGUCUCUCUAAUGUGUAGGUAUGAAAAUUUAGUACAGGCAAUUUCAGAGCUGGAUUAAACUAACGGUUUUGGGUAUGUAUUCUUUGGUGGGAUUUGAAAGAAUUGUAACUUUUUGGGAUUUAUGUUGGAUUUGCAGUUUUGGAAGGGUUGAAGUAUGCAUCUUCACAUGAAUGGGUGAAGCAUGAAGGUUCAGUUGCUACAAUUGGUAUCACUGACCAUGCUCAGGUUAGUGUUAUGUUUAGAAACAAGUGAUGUACUAUAUAUGAGCUUUUUUUUCACAAGUCAGAACCUUAUUAUGGUCUGAAAAGGAAGGAAGUCACCAAAUGAUGUAGAAGUGCACAUUGCAGAAUCUAAUCUACUAGGAAUAAUUGAAAUUCAGAGCGGGCAUAUGUUCGGAUAUUAUGUGAUAAACUUUUGGUAAGCCAGUUCGGCGAGUGAUGUGAUAUUUGAAGUAGCAGAUAGAGUGACUAGAUGAAGCUUUUUUUGUUUCAGGACCAUCUUGGUGAAGUGGUGUUUGUGGAGCUGCCAGAACCGGGUACUGUAGUCUCCCAAAGCAGCAGCUUCGGAAAUGUUGAAAGUGUGAAAGCAACCAGUGAUGUAAAUUCCCCAAUCUCUGGUGAGGUUGUUGAGGUUAACCCGAAGCUUAGUGAAACACCUGGUUUGGUAAUUGCUUUUCCUUAACUUCACACCUGUAUUUCCUUAAAAAUGUGACAUGUUAAGUUGUUAGACUCUCGAUCUGAACCAGGCUACUAAAUAAAAUUACAAUUUGACAACAUAACAUAGUGGCAUGUUUGUUUGACAACAUGUUCUGUUGUUAACACUCAUUUGGUGUAUUUUCUGAUGAAGAUCAAUACAAGCCCAUAUGAAGAUGGAUGGAUGAUCAAGGUGAAACCCAGCAAUCCAUCAGAACUAGAAUCCUUAUUGGGUGCUAAAGAAUACACGAAAUUCUGCGAGGAAGAAGAUGCAGCCCACUAGAAUGUAAUCAGACUUGCAGGCCAAGUAAUCUUGAACCGACUGAUUCUCAGAUGUUUAAGAAUCUUGUUUGACAAGUUCUUGUCAAAAUAUUAUUACAAAACUGCAGGUUCCAAGUUAAAUGUGUUUUCCCUCAUUUCCCUUUCAAGUGCACUAUGUAUCAUCUCUCUAUCUCUAGCCUGCAUUGCUUAUCUUGGACUAUACAAAAGUAGGGGGACUGUACUUGAAGCAAGUCUAACCCCAACAAUUUAUUCAAAUGUCAACUACUAUUAUUAUCUUUUGCACCAGACAAACACCGAUCAAGGGAUGCAAUAAGGACAUAACUACAUGUUUAUUAUACAAAUAGUACAGAAUUUAUAUAGAUGAUGAUGUUGAUGGAAGCUUCUUAAUGUUUGCAAAACAAUUGUCUUCGGGUCUUGUAUGAGGUAAGUACCUCACUUUACAUCCCGGAUUAAGUCGUUCGAGCCUGCAUUCAAGAAGUUCAAUGUCAGAGACUAUUAUUUAUCAUUCAUAUAGUUGCAUAACUUGCAUUUUCAGUGUCAUAGAGAGAGUUAUAUAAUAGUAUGACAAGUACAUUUGGAUGGAAGAAUUGGUUGGAGGAAAAGGAUUACAAGAUACUGGAGACACUGCAUUGCAGAUGACUUAAUAUAUACCAUUAAGAGUGUAAGUGAUUAGGUAAAAUGAAUCAUCUGAAAGUUCAUGGAUAAGUAUCAGUUAUUAGAUUAAUAGUGUCUCCUUCCAAAUGGACCAUUGCAUUUUGCAUUUGGAUAUAUGGAUUUAAAUCAGGCUAGAAUUUUGAAUCUGACAAUUCAACUUAAAAUUGGCCACCUUUGAAAAGCAAGGCACUUACUCAUAAUUCAGGAGAAAGUAGUGAAGAAAUGUAGUAAUUUCAAGCUUGGUCAAAUCACUUCCAGGGCAUUGCCUACUUCCUAUUCCAAAGGGAAUGUAAGUCCCUGCCUUCACUUUACUUUCCUACAAAAAGGAACAGAAAAAAGACAGAUACUUGUUUAACCUCUGAGAUGUAAAAUUUUGCUCAGUCAUACCUGUAAUGCAUGAAAUGAUGAAUACAGUAUACAAAGACAUCUAAUUCUGCGAGUCAUCUAGCUUACGUUCCAUCUUGAGGGAUUGAACUCAUUUGGAUCUUGAUAAAUUUCUGGGUUCAAAUGUAUUCCUCUGAACCAUAUCAUCACUUUCCAUCCCUUUGGUAUUGUGUAACCUUGAACACACAACAUGUCCUAGUAAGUUUCAUCACAAGAAACUGAUAUAACAAUAAAUAGAUAAUAUAGAGAGAUUAAUUGCUUACCAGAGAUGUUAACAUCAGCUGUAGCCUCCCGGUAAGUAUACAGCGAGAUAUUAACCACGCGCAUUGUUUCAUCAAUUACCUUUUCACCAAGCAUUGCUACUUGUUAGUUGUUGAAGUUGAAAUCAGAGGCAUAUGCUUAAGAUCAGGAAUUCAGGAUGCUAAAAAUUUGGCUUACCUUAGAAAGAUAUUCCAUCUGUUUAGUGAUAGACUUUUAAGAAUCUCCUCUUGCUCUGCCUGAAAGGUAAGAUUACAUCAACAUUUAACAAAGUCUCGUCGAUAAAUUCUGAAAGACAACUGCGGUUCACAACUGUUAGGAAGAAUAGCAACUGUAGACAAAUUUAUAGCACACUUCAAAUUAACUUGGUUUCCAAGCAAUUGGUCGCCACACUUAAAUUUCUUUACAGACACAAAACCAGUACUUAACACCACACUCGCGUUUGAAUGCGUGCAUCUAAUUACCAGUACGAGCUAUUGUAAACCUUUUUCAAUCAAUGAAAUUCAAUUUCUACAAAUAGGCACCUACCCACCUUGGCUUUUUGGUAGAAUUCUGGAUUUUGAUGUAAAAAGAGAGUUGCCCACAUUGUGGCAUGGGCUGAAGAUUCAUGACCAGCAUUUAAGUACAUGAGGAUUAUGUCUAUGAUCUCCUCAUCAUAUAGUUUUCUACCAGUCUCAUCUUCGGCUUCCAGUAAUAAAUCCAGCAAAUCUCUUCUUUCCCUUGAUAGACUACCCUCCUUUCUUUCCCUUCUUCGAUCAACAAUCACUUGAAGAGUCUUUACCAACCUUUUCCGAGCCUGAUGCAUGCAAGAACAUCAAUAAAUCAAGUCAAAUUUUUUCGGUAGACUAAAUAAUCUGAUAAAUAAGAUAGGGAUCUAGAUUCUCUGCCCUGUAUUAUAAAUGUAGGAUGUGUGAACAUAAGAGAAAACACUUGGUAAUAUAGUAUUACAGCUGAAGUAAACAAAAACAAGCAUGGUAGAGAAUCCAUUUCCGUAAUAGUGUGAUCAUUUUUUAUCUCUUAAGUCUUAAUGAUGUAAUGCAGUAUUUUUUUUUUUUACUUAGUUUGCAAUACUCUUAUGGUGUUGAACUGAAUAAAAGUAUCACAACAGCAUUAAAAGAAAGUAAAAAGAUGAAAUGAAACAAAGAAAUCUGACCUUGAGUGCAUUAUGAUAAGCAAAGCCAGGAAGGUUAAUGGCCAUGGAUCUUAGUCCAUGAUUGAGAGUGGUAUAAUCUUUUUCUAAGGUCUCCAACAUGGGACCAACCUCAGAGCUCAGAAAAAUGUGCGUGACUAUUUUGAAAGUUAACUUCCUGAUCUCAGUCAAGAACUCAAUUGGUUCCUCAGAUUUGGACCAUUCAUCCAAUGAAGUUACUACGACAUCCUUGAUGUAUUCAUGGUACAUAGACAGUGCCUUGUGACCACUGAUUGGAGCCGCGGUCAGCUUGCGAAGGCGCUUGUGAUCCUCUGCAGAAUUGUCCAUCAAUGCUAACUUUCCUAAUAAUAGUUCUGUAAUGGAUUUUGGCCAGCCAGCCUUGAAUUGGGUAUCAUUUGUUAAGAUCUUUCUACAUAUUUCAGGUUCCGUAGCUAUGAUAGUUGGCUUUCCAAACAAAUAGGCCUUGGAAAUUCCUUUCUGACCAUAUCUGGUGUACCAUGCAAUAGAAAAGUUAGCAUGUAAGAAACUCUAAGCAUUAAACAUAAGGACAUAACAAAAUUUUGUCAUUUCACAUGCUAUCCAUAUGUCGGAACUUAGAGCUUAAACCCAUAACCAAACUGGGUGGGAGGCUAAAGUAUUUGAAUUCCCAAGGAUUUCAAAGAUGUCGCAAAAAUAUGUAGUGUGACAUGGAACAUAUGUGACCAUUUGGGCUAGCACGUAUGAGAUAAACCACCUGAACACCAGGUUGGAGUAAGAUUAUCCACUAUAUAUCUAGGUAGUAAAUCGAUUAUAUGAAUACGCAAUCAGCAUAGUAACAUCUGCCCUCUUAUAAAUGAAGUGCUUUCGCUCCAUAGCCCUUCUGCUAAAAGCUCUUUUGUUUGAGUCUACAACAAGUUCUGUUGAAAAAAUACAAGUGUUUCCUGGAAACAAGUGUGGAAGCACUAGCAAUAAAAAGUCACUGCUGUCCUGCCAAAUAUAUACUACUGAAAGUGCUUUUAGGCUUUAGCACUUCCGAAAAUUCACUACAUGCAUACAUGCGAAGAUCUAGAAUAUUUCAGAGAAUAGAGGAAGGACAAGGUAUUCCCAAUGAAAGGCCAUCCCAUAUCACCUGGAGGCAGACUAGACUGGUUUUCACCCAAGCUGCUCACAAAGUACCACUCAUUUGCUCUCUUUAGGACCAAAACUAGAACACCAAAGCCACCAACUGAAGCUGUGAAAACCAGACACCAGAAACCCAACUCGUCCAUCUUCCACUUUCCUGGGUUUUACAUGUGUUGAGAUCGAGUACAGACUACAGAGUACUUAUAGCAAACCCUCCAGUGAGUUGUUGGAGGGGAGUAGAGGACUCUCCUCCUAGCAUUUGUCCUUAUAACCUCUCAAGAUACCAAGCAUCUAAAAUGCAAUCAUUAACCAAUAGAAUUAUUUUAAAGGAAACAUUUGCACUAUAAUGGGGGCAAAGCUUCAUGAAAACAAGUAAUUUUUCAUGAACAUAAAUUGUACACCAACUCAUUUUAUAUUUUCAGUACCUGUUUUCUUGCUAAUUUCUUGUUAGGAGGCACGUGAAAAUGGUGGUGUCUGCAUUAAUAAAAAAAAAAAAGGUUUUUAUUCACCUAGUCAUUUUAAAUUCGAAGUAUAUGCAAAGCCAAUUAGUUAGGUGUAUAUGAAACUUCAAAGUUUGAUACCUCUUCCAUCACCCCUAAAGUAAGUUUUGCAGACAGCAGUCUAAUCUUUAUCGUUCCAUACAAGUUUAAGGGCAACAAAUUUACCAAAGAACACCACCAGUCAAAUACCACUAAACAGUUUCGAUUUUGCUAAUUGAUUUACAGGAAUGAUUCUUGCAUGCUGAGGCAAGUUCUGCAUCGUUGAAAUGGAGGGCUGAAGGGUGGAAGGUGGAAGACCAUUACCUACAUAUUGUUGGGAAAUUGAUCCCAUGCCUCACAAGUGCUAGAAAUUAGAUGGAAAGAAGAAAUAAACAAGCCAAGAAGAACACAAGAUUUAACGAGGUUCGGCCAAUAUCCUUGCCUACGUCCUCGGAGAGUAUCACCUUUACUAAUGAGAGAAUUACACAUGUACAAGAUUACACCACUCAAGUUUAUGCCCAACCUAAGCCCUUGUAUCCAAAAGGACACCCCUUGUACACCCUCUCUCAACCUAGAAGAUUACCCUACCCCAAGAGUUAUUCACACUCUUGAACACAACUCAACCUAUCUUCUAUACACGAAGACCCUUAGAGUUGCUCCCUUACUCUCCUUGCUUGCUUCAACACAAGCUUCACCUUUUUUAUAGCCUUUGAUAGAAGUCUCUAGAGUUACUCUAUCAAUGCUCAUUCAUGACCAUGAUCAAACCUUCCAUCUUCCCCAUUAUCUCCAUGUAACUCCCUAGGAAGACUAAGAGUUAUAUCAUGAAUUUAAUCUCAUACAUUUAUUCUCACUUAACUAUGCAUCAAUUCCAUGAAUAACUUAUCACCAUGAAUGCACAAACCAAUAACUCUAUGUAUUCAUGUCAUGCAUAACUUAUCACCAUGAAUGCACAAACCAAUAACUCUAUGCAUUCAUGCCAUGCAUAAUAUCUCCACCAAGGAGGGAUAAACACCAAACCCAACAAUGACAUAAUCUUCUUGGUUGAGAGAGGGUAUACAAGGGGUGUCCUUUUGGAUAUAAGGGCUUGGGUUGGGCAUAAACUUGAGUGGUGUAAUCUUGUACAUGUGUAAUUCUCUCAUUAGUGAAGGUGAUACUCUUUGAGGACGUGGGCAAGGAUAUUGGCCGAACCUCGUUAAAUCUUGUGUUCUUCAUGACUUGUUUAUUUCUUCUUUCCAUCUAAUUUCUAGCACUUGUGUGGCGUGGGAUCAAUUUCCCAACAGUGGUAUCAGAGCCUCGGCUCUUCGGUCGUGGGCUGUUUGUUAUGGCAAGUUCUAGUCUACGCAUCUCACAUUUCAAGGUGGAGCAGUUCGAUGGAAAAAAAAUUUCACUCUAUGGCAAACGAGGGUGAAGGACAUCCUAGUUCAAUAAGGUCUUGCAAAACCGUUGAAGGGAAAGGAUGCAAAGCCGAAGAAGAUAUCAUAUGAAGAUUGGGAGGAGUUGGAGGCCAGAUGUGUUAGCACUAUUAGGCUUUAUAUUGCUAACAAUAUUAUUAAUAAGGGUAAAAUCAAGGUUCUAAAAAACGCUAGGCGCUAGUCGGGCGGACAGCCAACGCCUAGCGCCCAGAGGAUUAAUCGGGCCGCCUAGGCGGUUUUUUAUUUUCUAUAACUUUUAUUUAUUUAAUUCAAAUAAUUAUAUAAAUAAAAUUUAUAAAAUCAUUAUUAUGUUCUAAAAUAGCAAAAUACUUCAAAAAUAGACAAAAUGUUCAACAACAAGGUUCUUAGAAAUUAUAAAAAAAACAAUUUGAAAGAAACAAAUUAGAUUCUUACUAGCCUAUGCCUCAAAUUCUUCUUCUCCAUAUCCCUCUUGCACUUCUUCUGUGUCGGUCUCAAACUCAAAGUCUAUUUCAUCUUCUUCCUNNNNNNNNNNNNNNNNNNNNANAAAAAAAGCAUAAUUGGGCUGCCCAGCCCGCCCAGGUGCCGCCUAGCUCGCCUAGGCGGCCGUUUUUUUGAGCUGGCGCCCAGCUUCGACGAUUUGUGCAAAAUCGGAACGGUCCCCUGCCGCCCAGCGCCUAGGCGCCGCCUAGGCGGCCCUGGGCGGCGUUUUUUAGAACUAUGGGUAAAAUACUGUAUAGUUCUUAUGGUUUGAAGUCGACAUCUGUUUAGUCCUUAUGGUUUUAUUUUAAUCUGAAUAGUCCUUAAAGUCACGAUUUUUCAUGAAUUGAAAUUUGUUUAGUCCUUGUGGUUUGAAGUUGACAUCUGUUUAGUCCUUCUGGUUUUAUUUUAAUCGGAAUAGUCCUUAAAGUCACAAUUUUUCAUCAAAAUAGUCCUUAUGGUUUAUUUUAAUAUGAAUAGUCAUUAAAGUCAUGAUUUUUCAUCUAAAUAGUCAUUCCGAUAAUUUUCUAAGUUAAAGGCCAUAAGGACUAUUUGGAUGAAAAAUCAUGACUUUAAGGACUAUUCAGAUUAAAAUAAAACCAUAAGGAAUAUUUGGAUGAAAAAUUGUGACUUUAAGGAUUAUUCAGAUUAAAAUAAAACCAUAAGGACUAUACAGAUGUUGACUUUAAACCACAAAGACUAUAAUAUUUUACCCAUUUUUCAUCCAAAUAAUCCUUCCAACCAUUUUCUUAGUUAAAGGCUACGUCAGCAAUUUAAUUGAGAAAAUUGACGGAGGGACUAUUUGGAUAAAAAAUCGUGACUUUAAAGACUAUUCAAAUUAAAAUAAAACUAGAAGGACUAAACAAAUGUCGACUUCAAACCACAAAGACUAAACAAAUUUCAAUUCUAUUAAUAAUGUUAAUGAUGUAGAUUCGGCAUCGGAGCUUUGGGAAAAAUUGGAGAAGCUUUAUCUUGGGAAAGGCUUGCAGACGAAGUUGAAUCUAAAGUGAGAUCUCUACAAGCUCAAGAUGGGAGAAGGUGCGAGUCUCAUGGAGCACAUGAGCGUGUUCAGCGGAUUGAUUAAUCAACUAGCAAAAGUUGAUGUAAAGAUUGAGGAAAAAGAUCAAGCCCUUCUACUUCUUACCUCGCUUCCCGAUUCGUAUGAGAAUAUCAUCACUACAAUCUUGUAUGGUAAGGACACAUUGAAGAUGGAGGAGGUGGAAUCAACUCUCUUGUCUCACGAGAAGCGGAGGAAAGCCGAUGAUUCCCAGAGUUCCGUCUUUGUUGCUCAUGAUCAGAAUCAAAGGGGAAAGUCAACUGCCAAAGGAUAUAAAGAACAUAGCGGGUCUAAAUCCAGGGGCAAAGGAAAGGGCAAGCAAUGCUACAAGUGCAAGGAGUGGGGGCACAUAAGGCCAGAUUGUCUGUUGUUGAAAGAGAAGGAUGAUAAGGGCUCAGAUUGCUUCAUGACUGGUAUAGCACAGACUUCUUAUGAUUUUGGAGAAUUUCUCACGGUCUCCAAAGGUAAAUACACUUGUUCUCAACGUGAUCGGAUAUUGGAUACUGGUUCCUCUAAUCAUUUUUGCUCCAAAAGAGAAUAUUUUGAUAUGUUCCAAGAAGUCCAGGGAUUUGUGACUUGGGGUGAUGGAACAAGGCGUCGUGUCAUGGGUGUUGGAACGUUGAAGGUCAAAAUGUUUGAUGGGGUAGUUCGCUCUUUGGGUGAUGUGGUGUAUGUCCCAAAGUUUAUGAGAAAUUUAAUAUCACUGAGCCAGUUAAACUCUAAAGGUUGCAGGGUUUCUUCAGCAGGGGGAGUUAUGAAAGUAUACGUGGCUGCAUGGUCCUGAUGAAAGGAGAAAAGUGUGGAAGUAUGUUCCGUCUGAUAGGAAAAACUCAGACCUCAAAGGUUAUUGGGAAACAGUGUGCACAAGAAUCCAGGUACCUGAGGCAGGUCUCAUUUGCGGGUGUAGCAGAGACGGCAGACACAAGUUUCCAAGUUUUAGAUGAUGGUGAGAAGGUAAAUCUUGCUAGGAAAGAGGUGAAGACGAGGUCGAUCCCUCUUCAGAGUCAACAAGUGAUCGUUGUCUCGGUGCAGUUACACAUGGUUUUAGCUAAUUAAAUCAGGGAGAGUAUGGACCAUAUGCAAUUAACUCUGAUUGAUUAUGUGUAACUGACGCAAAUACAAGGCUAAUGGAAUGCUUAUGGGUAUAACAAGUUGUGUCUCGAUUCGAGAUGACUUCAAGCGUUGAAGUGGUGAUGCGGAGCUCUCCACCAAUGUCGGGAGGGGGAGGAUUGUUGGUUUGGGGUUUGGGUUGUUUUAGUCCCUUCCAUGAUGGAGAUAUUAUGCAUGGNNNNNNNNNNNNNNNNNNNNNNNNNNNNNNNNNNNNNNNNNNNNNNNNNNNNNNNNNNNNNNNNNNNNNNNNNNNNNNNNNNNNNNNNNNNNNNNNNNNNNNNNNNNNNNNNNNNNNNNNNNNNNNNNNNNNNNNNNNNNNNNNNNNNNNNNNNNNNNNNNNNNNNNNNNNNNNNNNNNNNNNNNNNNNNNNNNNNNNNNNNNNGCAACUCUAAGGGUCUUCGUGUAUAGAAGAUAGGUUGAGUUGUGUUCAAGAGUGCGAAUAACUCUUGGGGUAGGGUAAUCUUCUAGGUUGAGAGAGGGUGUACAAGGGGUGUCCUUUUGGAUACAAGGGCUUAGGUUGGGCAUAAACUUGAGUGGUGUAAUCUUGUACAUGUGUAAUUCUCUCAUUAGUAAAGGUGAUACUCUCCGAGGACGUAGGCAAGGAUAUUGGCCGAACCUCGUUAAAUCUUGUGUUCUUCUUGGCUUGUUUAUUUCUUCUUUCCAUCUAAUUUCUAGCACUUGUGAGGCAUGGGAUCAAUUUCCCAACACAUAUUUCCUUUCCCCUACGCAUGUUUAAUAAAACAUAUAUUCAGUCAGUCUUUGAUAUAAGAAAAACACUGAGGGGGUCUCAUUUGGUCCUCUAAGGCCAGCAGCGGCACUGAUUUAACGAGAAUAAACAAGAACUCAGCGUACGUACACCUGCAUCUGCUAUUGGAAAAUGACAAUGUGACUAAUUAUAUGAACAACUGAGGUUGCCUUACUGGAAUUACCUUUUAAAUUUCUGUAUGAUGGAAAUAGAAAAUGGAAUGUAGCAACAGAAAGCCAACCAUGCAUACUAGUAGUUGUUUGUUUAAUGGUGGUUACAUUGCUAUAAAACUAUAAUCAUACUGAAAGAAUUAACUGAAUCUCAGAUGUUUAAGAAUCUUGUUUGACAAGUUCUUGUCAAAAAUAUUAUUACAAAACUGCAGGUUUCAAGUCAAAUGUGUUUUUCCCUCAUUUCCCUUUCAAUGUUUCAAGUGAUCUAUGUAUCAUCUCUCUAUCUCUUGCCUGCAUUGCUUAUCUUCGACUAUGCUUGGUACUUGAGAUUUAGCUUUAACAAAACAAGGGGGGACUGUACUUGAAGAAGUCUACCACCAACAAUUUAUUCAAAGGUCUAUGUCUACUACUAUUCAGACAAACACCGAUCAAGGGAUGCAAUAAGGACAAUACUACAUGUUUAUUAUACAAAUAUUAGAGAAUUUAUAUAGAUGAAGAUGUUGAUGGAAGCUUCUUAAUAUUUGCAAGACAAUUGUCUUCGGGUCUUGUAUGAGGUAAGUACCUCAAUUCACAUCCCGGAUUAAGUCGUUCCAGCCUGCACUCAAGAAGUAAACUGUCAAAGACUGUAUUGUUUAUGGUUCAUCUGAUUCCAUUUUUAGUGUCAUACAGAGUAAAAUAUUUGGAUUUAAAUCAGGCUAGGAUUUUGAAUGUGAUGAUUCAACUUAAAAUGGCGACCUUUGAAAAGCAAGGGAACUUACUCAUAAUUCAGGAGAAAAUAGUGAAGAAAUGUAGUAAUUUCAAGCUUGGUCAAAUCACUUCCAGGGCAUUGCCUACUUCCUAUUCCAAAGGGAAUGUAAGUCCCUGCCUUCACUUUACUUUCCUACAAGGAACACAGGAAAAAAAAAGACUAAGACUUGUUUAACUUGUGAGAUGAACAAUUUUGCUCAAUCAUACUGUAAUGCAUAAAUUGAUGAAUACACUAAACAAAGAGAUCUAAUUCUGUGUGUUAUCUUGCUUACAUUCCAUCUUGAGGGAUUGAACUCCUUUGGAUCUUGAUAGAUUUCUGGGUUCAAAUGAAUUCCUCUGAACCACAUCAUCACUUUCCAUCCCUUUGGUAUUGUGUAACCUUGAACACAUAACAUUUUCUAGUAAGUUUAAUCACAAGAAACUGAUAUAACAAUAAAUAGAUAAUAUAGAGAGAUUAAUUGCUUACCAGAGAUGUUAACAUCAGCAGUAGCCUCCCGGUAAGUAUACAGCGAGAUAUUAACCACGCGCAUUGUUUCAUCAAUUACCUUUUCACCAAGCAUUGCUACUUGUUAGUUGUUGAAGUUGAAAUCAGAGGCACAUGCUUAAGAUCAGGAAUUCAGGAUGCUAAAAAUUUGGCUUACCUUAGAAAGAUAUUCCAUCUGUUUAGUCUCUUUGAAGCUCAAUCCAUUUUCUGGUGAUAGACUUUUAAGAAUCUCCUCUUGCUCUGCCUGAAAGGUAAGAUUACAUCAACACUGAACAAAGUCUCGUCGAUAAAUUCUGAAAGACAACUGCGGUUCACAACUGGAAGGAAGAAUAGCAACUGUAGAGAAAUUUAUAGCACACUUCAAAUUAACUUGGUUUCCAUGCAAUUGGUCGCCACACUAACAAUUUCUUUACAGACAGAAAACCAGUACUUAAUACCACACUCGCGUUUGAAUGCGCGCAUCUAAUUACCAGUACGAAAUAGGCACCAACCCACCUUGGCUUUUUGGUAGAAUUCUGGAUUUUGAUGUAAAAAGAGAGUUGCCCACAUUGUGGCAUGGGCUGAAGAUUCAUGACCAGCAUUUAAGUACAUGAGGAUUAUGUCUAUGAUCUCCUCAUCAUAUAGUUUUCUACCAGUCUCAUCUUCGGCUUCCAGUAAUAAAUCCAGCAAAUCUCUUUUUUCCCCUGAUAGACUACUCUCCUUUCUUUCCCUUCUUCGAUCAACAAUCACUUGAAGAGUCUUAACCAACCUUUUCCGAGCCUGAUGCAUGCAAGAAUAUCAAUAAAUCAAGUCAAAUUUUUUCGGCAGACUAAAUAAUCAGAUACAUAAGAUAGGGAUCUAGAUUCUCUGCCCUGUAUUAUAAAUGUAGGAUCUGUGAACAUAAGAGAAAAUUGGUAAUAUAGUAUUACAGCUGAAGUAAACAAAAACAAGCAUGGUAGAGAAUCCAUGGGAGCCAUUCUAGUGAGGACCCUUAAGUUGAGGACUUGGUGAAGACUUUUCGGUUUAUCCCACCUUUCGAUCUUAUAUUUACAUCUUGACCGUUCAGUUUAUAGGUAUUUAUGAGUAGAUCAUUUAUUUAAAUUUUCAGUUAUAUUAAAAAUUGUUAAGACAUUCAUAAGUGUGAUUUAUCAAUUAUGAACUUGAACGGUUCAUAUUUGACAGAUUUGGUUCGUCUAGUAAUUUGAUCUAGUUUGUUAUCUUAACGAACACCAAUUUGGGUGAAAAUUUGUAGAAAUGAUCUAACUCAUAUAAACCUAAAAACUGAAAGGAUAAGAUGUCAAAACGUGAUCGAAAAUUGGGUCUUUUAAACCAUAAACCGAAAAGUCCUCACCAAAUCCUCAACUUAAAGGUCCUCACUAGAAGGGCUUCCGAGAAUCCUUUUCUAUAAUAAUGUGAUCAUUUUUUAUCUCUCAAGUCUUAAUGAUGGAAUGCAGUAUUUUUUUUACUUUAGUUUGCAAGACUCUUAUGGUGUCGAACUGAAUAAAAGUAUCACAACAGUAUUAAAAGAAAGUAAAAAGAUGAAAUGAAACAAAGAAAUCUGACCUUGAGUGCAUUAUGAUAAGCAAAGCCAGGAAGGUUAAUGGCCAUGGAUCUUAGUCCAUGAUUAAGAGCAGUAUACUCUUUUUCUAAGGUCUCCAACAUGGGACCAAUCUCAGAGCUUAGAAAAAUGUGCAUGACUAUUUUGAAAGUUAACUUCCUGAUCUCAGUCAAGAACUCAAUUGGUUCCUCAGACUUAGACCAUUCAUCCAAUGAAGUUACCACAACAUCCUUGAUGUAUUCAUGGUACAUAGACAGUGCCUUGUGACCACUGAUAGGAGCCGCGGUCAGCUUGCGAAGGCGCUUGUGUUCCUCUGCAGAACUGCCCAUAAAAGCUAACCUUCCCAAUAGUUUUGUAGUGGAUUUUGGCCAGCCAGGCUUGAAUUGUGUAUCAUCAGUUAAAAUCUUUCUACAUAUUUCAGGUGCUGUAGCAAUGAUGGUUGGCUUUCCAAACAAAUAGGCCUUGCAAAUUCCUUUCUGCCCAUAUCUGGUGUAAAUAGAGAUGUUAGUAUGUAAUUAUGUAUUAAUAUCAGAAACUUAAGCAUUAAACAUAAGGACAUAACAAAGUUUUGAUCAUUUCAUAUGCCUUCAUGUAGGAACUCAGAGCUUAAACAACCCAGAAGCAAACUAGGUGGGAGGCAAAAGGAUUUGAAAGGAUGUCAAAGAUGUUGCAAAAUAUGUAGUUAACAUGUGUGACUGUUUGGCCAAACACGUAUGGGAUAACCCACUCGAAUACCAUGUUGGCAUAAGAUUAUCCACUAUCCAGGUAGUAAAUUGAUUAUAUGAAUACACAAUAAGCACAUUAGUAACUUCUGCUCUCUUUUCGCUCCAUAGCACUUCUGCUAAAAGCACUUUCAUUAGAGUCUAUAACAAGUUUUGUUGAAAAAUACAAAGUCCUUCCAGUAAACAAGUGUGGAAGUACUAGCACUGAAAAGUCACUGUUUCUGUCAAUACAAGCUACCAAAAGUUAGCACUUGAAACUUCCACUAAAUGGAUAAAUUUGAAAAUUUUCAUGUUCUUUAUUCUGCAACAAACUAACUAGAAAAUGAUGAAACAGUUUGAACUAAAAAUGAGAGAGGAGAGACAAACCUUUUAACAUAGUUGGAGACGAAUGAAUCAGGAUGACCAUACUUUAGAGAAUAGAGGAAGGACAAGGUAUUCCCAAUGAAAGGCCAUCCCAAAUCACCUGGAGGCACACUAGACUGGAUUUUACCCAAGCUGCUCACUAAGUACCACUCAUUUGCUCUCUUUAGGAUCAAAACUAGAAAACCAAAGCCACCAACUGAAGCUGUGAAAACCAAACACCAGAAGCCCAGAUCGUCCAUCUUCCACUUUUUCUGGGAUGUUUUUUACGAGUCUAGGCAAGUGUAGAGAGUACAGAGUACUUAUAGGACUAGCACAAACCCUUCAGAACUUAGAGGACUCUCCUCCUAAGCACUUGUCCUUAUAGCCUCUCAAGAUACCAAGCAUCUAAAAUGCAAUCAUUAACCAAUUGAAGGAAUAUUUUUAAGGAAACAUUUGCACUUAUGACUUAUUUGACCAAUCAAUCUAGAUAAUGGGAACAAAGCAUAAUGAAAAGUUGAAAACAAGUCAUUUCCCCGAAAAUACUACAAGAGGCACAUGUAACAGGUGAUGUGUAAUAGAAAGAAAUUGGUUUUUAACCAAGUCAUUUUAAAUUUGAAGUAUAUGCAAAAGCCAUACUUCUAGCUACUAGUUAGGUAAGGUUAAGUGUAGUCCUAUUUUGAAUUCACAUUCACAAUGAAACUUCAAAGUUUGAUACCUCUUCCUUAACCCCAAAAGUAAAUUUUGCAGAGUCUAAUCGUCCAUAAAAGUUUAAGGGCAACAAAAUUACAACACCGAAGAACACCACCUGUCAAACAGUACUAAACAGUUUUGAUUUUGCUAAUUGAUUCACAGGAAUGGUUCUUGCUGAGGGAAGAUCUGCAAUCAUUAAAACGGAGGGCUGAAGGGUGGAAGAUCAUUAGCUAUACAUAUUUCCUUUCCCCUACAAUAUUCAUUGUCUCUGCUAAGUGACGCAUGGUUAAUAAAACAUAAAUUCAGUCAGUCUUCUAAAUAAAUAGAAAAAACACUAAGCGGGGGUCUCGUCUGGCUCCUCUAAGGCCUCUGGAAGCACUGAUUUAACGAGAAUAAACAAGAAAAUAGCGUACACCUGCAUCUGCUAUUAUAAAAAGACAGUUUGACUAAUUAUCUGAACAUCUGAGGUUUACUGGAAAUACAUUUUAAAUUUCUGUAUACAUGCUGGAGAUAGAAAAUGGAAUCUGUAGUAACAGAAUAUAUCAUGCAUAACUCUUGUAGUUGUUGCCAAUAGAACCUGACAAAAUAUAACUAAUACUACCCAAAAAAUCAAAUAAAUAAUAUUUGUUUAAUGCAAACAGCACUAAACGAGUACUAUAAUCAUACCGAAAGAAAUAGUCUUUCAUAGACUAGAGAAUGGGAAAAUUAUUUGAUUUCAAGUGACUAUAUCUGUUUUGGAAUCUCUGAACUAAAAAAGUUAAUAACAAAAAAUCAAGUGGCUGUUACGAUAUUGCGGAAGCUUAACCACUGCUACUGAUCAGCUAGAUAUAUAAUACAGAAGUGAUGAUAGCAGUUUACUCUUACAAUUUCAUAACCACUGAUAAAGAAUGAACAGAUGAUCAACAUAACCUCAGCAAAUAAAUGUAAGUUGCUUACGGGCGCUAACAAUUAAAAUGAUAAUAAACACAGCAGUCCCUAAACAUAAGGGAAUAUUACUAACAAGGAAAUCCUACUUAUGAACAUGUCAACUCAGCAUGGAGAACUCGUAAGCAAGGAAUCAAGUGCAGAAAUUAGAUCUGUUUGAUCAGCCCUUUGACUUGACUUGCACGGUAAUGAUUGAAAGAGUUCGAGUCCCAUGAGAAAUAAGUACAUGUGAUGCCAAACCUUUUGCAGAAGCAAAUCUGCUGAAGAUAAAAGAGAUGCAAAAGGUUGCUACAGGCCUACAGUACUGGCAGUGCACUUGGUGAGCUUGGUUUUGGUAAAAUAUAAUCUAUCUUUUUUUUUUUUUCUCUAGAGUCCUUUUUGUUCAAGUUUCAUCUGCCUCGUAUAAGUAUGGUCUGUUUUGUAUAUGUGAUAGUCUGCCAGCUCAAUAGAAAUUUGGGCUUUUUACAUAUAUAGGAAAAAAAAUCAGCAUGGAGAAACCAAAAACCAUUAUCAUUCAUUAUUAUCCUCAUAAGGUUUUUAAAAAUUGACACCAGGUGUCUAUUAAGUUACUAUUUGAUAGGAGAAAUGACAGAAAAUAACUGAAAACUUUGAAAUGUAGAGUCAUUCAUGUAGUACUUGAAAACAGAAGGAGAACUUGGGAUUGGUGAUCUUUAUAUUUUCCCAGAGGAAGCUCAUGAGUUGUAUUUAUAUUUCAUGGGAAUCCAAAUCAGAACUAGAAAUCAGUUCAGACCGGUACUGCUCAUGUGCAGAUACAUUGCCGUUUGAAACUGUCACCCCCUCCACAGGCACAAAAAUCAGAUCACAGACCUGAUCUCCAACAGGGUUAGAAAUUGCAAUGAGCAACUCCCUAGUAGUUGCCAGCUGCUCAUAAACGUCGCUGUAAAGUGCUCCGUUAUCCAUAAAAUUUCAACUGUUGCUGCAUUUCAAUCCAAAAAUUCUUCAAAACUUGAGCAAGUUGUGAUAGCUAGAUGAUCAAGGAGCUAGUUAAGGGACCCUACAUCCCAUUCAGAACAAGAAGAAAAUACUAUUCCAUCUAGCAAACUCUAGAGCUAUUAACACUCCCAUUUAGAUCAAACUAAGAGACAGAUGACCGCCAAGACCAAAUUUUAAGGACAUUUGAACACUAGCAUUUGGCUUAUGAGUUAUGACAAUAUACAAACUUGGUAAUAUUCAACUAAACUUUGGAAAAAGGUUUCGGGUUUAAUCGACAGUUUAACAACAUAACACACGAUGACAUUUUUCAUCAACAACGAUAGAUGAAACGAAAUAAAUUUACUUACUACCGAAGUGUUAGUAGUAAAAUAACGACAUUGUCACGCCACUGUCAUGUGUUGUUACACAUAACUAUAGUUAUAUAACACAUGACAGUCGCAUAAAGUCGAGAUUGUAUCACCACUAACACUCACAUGGUGAGCAAAUUCAUUUCCGAAACAAAACAUAGUUCUAUAGAUUUCAUGAAAUAAGUGAUUUAUCAAGGAUCUUAGCAGUCAAGGGCGUAGAGAAGGGGGGGGGGGGGGGGGGUCAGGGGGUUCAGCUGACGUCUCUCAUAUUUUUUAUUAGGUCAUAUUGUUGUCUAAUUUGUUAGUUGAAAUAUGAUGUUGGCACUAUUUUUUUAUUUUAUUUAUGUUGGCACUAUUUUGACCUUUCUAACUAUAAUUAAAGAAAAGUUUGACAUAUAAAAUAUUAAUUACAACAAUCAAUUUGGACAAAGGAGUGUUCAACUCCUCACGUGUGUUUGUUACGUGUGGUUCUCUUUAUUUUUUUAAUAUAGGUUUCUAAUCCGAAUCAAUAAUUGAUUGCAUCUCCCUUUAAUAUUACAAUUAAAACAUAUUCCUAGUCUUUUUUUGUUGUUUUUUUAAUUAAUAUGUUUUCCUAAUCAAUCAAUGAUUGUGAUUGAUUUCUCAUGCACCUCUAUAUAAAAAAUUUUAGUCGUUUCUUUAUGUAUAUCUUUUUGUUAUCCUUCAGUAAAUUUUUCCCUGUUGUCGACAACCUUCAUAAUUAAAAAUUUGCAAUUAUAGAUGUUUUAGCUUUAUUUGAAAAGUAUCGUAAGAGAAAAGCAGCAGAACCGUCGACACCAUUUUAAGCUCCUCCAAAAUUUCAAAAUAUGAGCAAUCGCCAAGGACAAUUAUAAUUGCUUUAGGGAGAUUUGUUAUUUUGUUUAGUUUUUGUUUUCGAAGUAUUCUAAUGAUUUAUAAGUUUUUAUAUUAUUCAAUAAAAAUUAUAUUUUUAUUUUGUGUGGCAUUAUUGUUUAAACUUUUGAUCUUUCUACUUGUGGUUUCUGGCUACGCCACUGUGCAGUUCUGGUCAGAUCCAUACAUGAUUAUGUUUAGUGAACAUUAAGGGCUCGUUCUUCUACUCCAGUUUAUAUUUGGUUACAAACAUCAAAGAAAUUCAGAACUAAUGAAAUACAGAAAUAGAUGACUCACACAGUAGUGUACAAUCUAAGACGAUCGAUGAUCAACGAAUGAAAUUGAAACAGAGAAGCUCACUAUGAAAAAUUAAAUCAAAGAAGCAAACUGGGAUAAUUUUAGUCGUGCCUGUGGGUGCCUUGCGUCUAUCAACUGUCUUACUCUCUCUGUAUAUUUUUCUCUGUAAUAUUGGAUUGGCUUUUAUAUUGUUUGCGUUGGACCAGUGAAUUUGGUGUUUGCUAAGUUGGCUUCUUAUCUAAAACGGGGAAUGUGCAUUUGUUUCCUGAAUAUGCUCAUCAUUUUUAGGCAAAAAAACAUAUAUAGUGAGUUAGUGACUCAGUAUUGAGUAUUGACUCAUUCUACAGUUGUAUCACCUGCAUUGAUAUUUGAGAAAAUCUUACGUGCGACAGCCGCACCACGUGUCUUGUGCGACCCACUAGUCGCAUAACGACACGUGUUUUUUUUUUUUGUUUUCGACAACUCUUCUUCCUGCCUUCCUCUCUCUCCUCUCCGAUGAAACCGAUCCCCUCCGAUCCCCUUCCUCUCUCUCUUCUCUGCCCAGCCGCCGCCUGGAACUCCCACCGCUGCCUCCACCAUAAGGCUGACAACCUGCCGCCGUCGAGCUCGUCUCCACCAACCUGUGCAAAUCACGUCUCCACCAAGAGAGAGGAAGGAAGAAGAAGAGAAAGGAACGAAGGAAGAAGAAGAAGAGUUGUGAAAAAGCUUCGCCGGAUAAGAGAGGAAGGAAGAAGAAGAUCCGCCGGAGAAAGGAGCAAGAAGAAGAAAAAGGCAGGUGUGACAAAAAAAAAAAAACAUGUGUCAAAGGAUGAUUGGGUGUGUAUAUGCCAGGUGGUGCGGCUGUUGCACCUAAGAAUUUCUCUUGAUAUUUUACUUGUUUUGGUCAAAUUUGGUCUUUUGCUUCUUAUCUAAAACAUGUAACGUGACAUUAGUUUCUUGAAUCUGCUUCUUUAUUGUAGGGUAAAAUAUCAUAAAUAGUUACUGAGUUUUGAUUUAUUUAUUUCACUCACUGAUUUAAUUUUUACUCAUUGUCUACUCACUCAAACCACCAUAGAUGGUUGAAUUGGUAAGAACUUUAGUGUGGAUCCCCCAUACCUAGCUUCGAAUAUCAUGGAUGAGUUAAAUCUCAGUCUAUUUUUGGUGGACAUAAGGAGAAAGCGUGCCCCAUUCCUUUAGGAAUUAUGUCCUCAUACCCACGCCAUUCCCCGUUAACAAUAGAAAACAAAGCUGGGCCCAAAAUAUGAACCCAACCCCAACCUCCUGCCUAAGAUGGGCCCAUAUGCAUGCUCCAGGCCCAAGUGUCCAAGCCAUGCUGUCCGUUGCUAUCGUCUCUCUCGGCCUUGAUCUCGCGGCUGCCAAGCUUGUUGUCCCACCAUCGGAGUUGCACCCCAGCCGCCAUCACGUUCUAGUUGCCAUCAGAACUGAUCUCAAUCGACCUCAACCUCCGGGCCUGAGCUAUGCCCACCAGAGACCAUCACCGGCGCCGUGGAUCAACUGGACAAGCGAUGAAGAAACUUUUCUUUCCAACCCAAAGUCCUUUCUUUUCCUUUCACAGUUUUUUGAUUCUAUCUCGUACUUAGUCGUGAUUAAAGUGUCAUUGAAUUAGAUCCAUGAGACAAAAAUAAUAAGACACAUGAAUUGCUUUAUUACCCGAGUACAAAUUCAUUGACAUGACUCUAUCAACAUAUUUCACUAUGAAUGAAUGACAUUUCAUGUAACUAGUAAACAGUACAAAAUUAUUUCCACUUUCAUUCACACUGAAAAUAACUUAUAUUAUUGUGUUUGAAAAGAAAACUCCCAAACCAAAAGAAGAAACCUUUACAGGUCUCUGCUCUGCUCACGAAAUCCUAACUCAGACCUCCGCCGGCGUUUAACCUCCGUCCGAUCAGACUCAUCCUCACACAAAAUGCCUCCAAAGAAGAAGCAGCCGCAGCAGCAGCAGUCUAAGAAGCCGAGCAGUAAACCCCAACCGUCCUCCUCGGGCCAGAAGCCCCAGCCAAACACCACCGCCAAACCCCAAACGACGUCGUCCGGCCCCCGCCUCCAGAUUUCCGCCGAGAACGAGAACCGCCUCCGCCGCCUCCUCCUCAACUCCGGCCGUUCCGCCGCCGUCCCCGUCGACGAGUCGCUCUCCAAGGCUCAGAAGGCCAAGAAGCUCAAGGCCGUCUACGAGCAGCUCUCCUGCGAAGGCUUCACCAAUGAUCAGAUUGAGCUCGCUCUCUCCGCCGUCAAGGUGAAACUUCUUCAAUUUUACUCGCUGUAACUUUUUCUGUGUUAGGUUUUUGCAGCAUUUUACUGAAACCUGAAUUGAAAUUGUGAUUGGGGUUUUGUUGAGUAGGAGGGGGCUACAUAUGAGGCUGCUCUGGAUUGGUUGUGCUUAAAUGUGCCUGGGGAUGAGCUUCCAUUGAAGUUUUCGAGUGGGGUUUCCAUGGCUGCAAAUGAAGGUACAUUUGAAUUUAUUGUACUAUUGCACAUACAGUGAAUUAGUAGGGUUUAAAUGUGCUAUGCCGGGUGUGGAAAUCGGUCGUAAAUCUGUUGUAUGAGAUGAGUAUUGAAAUCGAGCUAUAUAUGUUGGAUGUGAUUGUGAUUUCCUAUAAGCAUGUUUUGUGUUAGGUGGCUCUGUUGGUGUUGUACUGACUUCUCGAGAUGACUGGACUCCGUCGGUGGACACGUCUGCUAAGAUUGAUGAGGAUACGCCGGGGAUUGCUAUUAGAACCAAGGGGCAAUGGGAUGAUAAAACACUUGAUUCGUGUCAACCGUCUCAGGCAGAUUGGAUCAAGCGGUAUGUUGAGCAGCAAGAAGAGGAUGAAUCGAGUACGUGGGAGGAUGAUGUAGAUGAUGAGGUUUCGGGGGCUAAGGUCAGGAAACCAAGGUCGUAUGAUGUUAUAGCCAAGGAGUAUCAUGCUGCGCGGUUAGAAGCUGCGGAAGCGAAGCAAAAGAAGGACAAGAAAAACCAGGAACGGGCAGGCAAAGUAAUACGUGAUCUCAAGCAAGAGUUAUCGGCACUAGGCUUAUCGGACGACAUCUUGGCAUCAGAAUUUGAGCAGGAACAGUCUAUAGAACGAGCUUAUUCUGCUUUUGAGGACACAGAUACUAGUUCAGAGCCUUACAAGCAAGCUGAUGGACUCCAUGCAGAUGAAUUAAAAGCAGACGGAAAUGAUAUGGAGCCUUGCAGCUCCGUUCAGCUCCCAAUCAACUCUACUCCUUCAGAUCUACCUGUUCAGGAAAAAAUUGCUGCAGAAGAAGAAACAACUGAUAUGGAGAUUGGUAAUUUUUUCUUGGAAGAUGCGCCGUCUAACGAUUUCCUAACUCCUACUAUUUUGGAACUACAGAAGAAAGAAAAGUUGAGAGAAAUGCUCAGUGAGAAAAAUUUGGAGAAAUUAGAUGGUAUUUGGAAGAAAGGGGAGCCUCAAAAGAUUCCCAAGGCUGUAUUUCAUCAAUUAUGUCAAAAAUCAGGAUGGGAAGCCCCAAAGUUUAAUAAAGUGCGGGGCAAGGAUAAUAGUUUCUCUUAUACUAUCAGUGUUUUGCGUAAAGCUAGUGGAAGGGGUAAGAGCAGAAAGGCUGGGGGCUUGGUCACUCUUCAGCUUCCUGAUCACGAUGUAACUUUUGAUUCAGCCGAGGAUGCACAGAAUAGAGUGGCAGCAUAUGCUCUUUGUCAACUGUUUAAUGAUCUCCCAAUCCAUCUUGUUAUUACUGAGCCUUAUGCUUCUCUAAUCAUUCAAUGGAAGGAAGGGGAAACUAUGACCAAUGUUGAAGAUGGUGUUAAGGACCGAAGAGCUAAUUUUGUGGAUUCGCUAUUGAAAGCUGAUGGUUCUAGUUCAACUUCUACUGCUAAUGUUGUGUAUGAUUCUGAUUCUCUUCCUAAAGUGGUUCCACGACUCCAGGUUCAAGAACCUAGAAAUUCAGAACUAAAUCCUCGCAAAGAUGCAGAGAGCUCUUAUUUGAGACAAGAACUGGAGAAUAAACAGAAAACACAGAAAUUCAAGGAAAUGUUGAAAGCAAGAGCUGCACUCCCCAUUGCUGGUUUGAAGGGUGAUAUAUUGCAACUGCUUCAGGAUAAUAAUGUUCUAGUAGUUUGUGGUGAAACGGGAUCUGGAAAAACAACUCAGGUUCCACAAUUUAUAUUGGAUGACAUGAUCCAGUCAGGACGUGGUGGACACUGUAACAUUAUAUGCACACAACCAAGGAGAAUAGCUGCUAUUUCUGUGGCUGACAGAGUCACUGAUGAGCGUUGUGAACCCUCACCUGGUUCUAAUGGUUCUUUGGUUGGUUAUCAAGUGCGCCUUGAUAAUGCUAGUAAUGAAAAGACUAAGCUUCUGUUUUGCACGACAGGUAUUCUUCUGAGAAAAUUCGUGGGAGACAGAAACUUGACUGGAGUUACUCAUGUCAUAGUUGAUGAAGUACAUGAGCGGUCUCUUUUGGGUGAUUUCCUGCUCAUAGUUUUGAAGAAUCUGAUUGAGAAGCAAUCAGCUCUUAACACACCCAAACUGAAAGUUAUUCUAAUGUCUGCAACUGUUGAUUCCAAUUUGUUUUCAAAUUACUUUGGUGGUUGUCCUGUGAUUACUGCAGAAGGUAGAACACAUCCAGUGACAACUUAUUAUCUUGAGGAUAUAUAUGAGCGCAUUGAUUAUCGGCUUGCAUCAGAUUCUCCGGCUUCCAUGGUGUAUGGAACUUCGACCGAAGGGAAGACUGGUCCUGUAAACAACAGCAGAGGAAAGAAGAAUCUUGUUUUAUCUGGCUGGGGUGAUGAUUCUGUACUGUCCGAAGAAUUUGUUAAUCCAAAUUAUGUUCAUGAUAUGUAUCAAUCCUACAGAGAGCAAACUCGACAAAAUUUGAAAAGAUUGAAUGAAGAUGUCAUUGAUUAUGAUCUUCUUGAAGACUUGGUGUGCCAUGUUGAUGAAACUUGCGCUGAAGGUGCUGUUCUUGUCUUCUUGCCUGGAGUAUCUGAAAUUUACACCUUAGUUGAUAAACUAGCUGCUUCUUACCGGUUCGGUGGAGCAGCUUCUGAUUGGAUCCUCCCGCUACAUUCAUCUGUUGCAUCAGUUGAUCAAAAGAAGGUAUUUUUGCAGGCUCCUGAUAAUAUACGAAAGAUUAUUGUAGCUACUAAUAUUGCUGAGACCAGCAUAACAAUAGAUGAUGUGGUAUAUGUUAUUGACUGUGGAAAGCAUAAGGAGAAUCGUUAUAAUCCUCAGAAGAAAUUGUCAAGCAUGGUCGAGGAUUGGAUAUCCAAAGCAAAUGCAAGGCAACGUCGAGGAAGAGCUGGACGUGUGAAACCUGGAAUCUGCUUUUGCAUGUACACUAGUUAUCGAUUUGAAAAGCUCAUGCGCCCCUUUCAGGUUCCGGAGAUGCUUCGAAUGCCAUUAGUAGAGCUGUGUUUACAAAUUAAGUUACUUUCUUUGGGCCACAUAAAACCAUUUUUGUCCCAGGCUUUAGAACCUCCAAGGGAAGAGGCUAUGACUUCAGCAAUUAAGAUAUUGUAUGAGGUUGGUGCUCUUGAAACAGAUGAAGAGUUGACGCCUCUUGGGCAUCAUUUGGCGAAACUUCCUGUUGACGUAUUGAUUGGGAAGAUGAUGAUACAUGGUGGAAUAUUUGGUUGCUUAUCACCGAUUCUAUCAAUUUCUGCAUUCUUAAGUUACAAAUCUCCAUUUGUCCAUCCAAAAGAUGAGAAGGAAAAUGCGAAAAGGGCAAAAUUGGCACUGUUGACUGACAAGCUAGAUGGACCAAGUGAAUCAAACAAUGUUGAUAAGCAAUCCGACCAUCUCAUAAUGAUAACCGCAUACAAGAAGUGGGAAAAGAUUCUACGUGACAAAGGGGUUAGAGCUGCUCAACAGUUUUGCAGUUCAUAUUUUUUGAGCAGUUCAGUGAUGUACAUGAUAAGAGACAUGAGGAUACAGUUUGGAACACUGCUGGCUGAUAUUGGACUCAUUGAUCUUCCAAAGAAAUAUCAGGUUGAUGGAAGAAAGAAAGAGAAUCUAGACGCUUGGUUUUCAGAUGCAUCACAACCCUUUAAUAUGUACUCAAACCAUUCACCAAUUGUGAAAGCUAUCAUAUGUGCAGGGUUAUACCCCAAUGUUGCAGCCACUGAGAAAGGCAUUGCUGGAACAGUUCUCAAUAACCUUAAACAGGCUCCUGGCCACGCAGCUAGCCAUUGUCCAACCUGGUAUGAUGGAAGAAGAAAAGUCAAUAUACACCCUUCGUCUAUCAACCAUAAUGUAAAUGAAUUCCGGUACCCUUUCCUUGUCUUCCUUGAAAAGGUUGAAACCAACAAAGUGUUUUUGCGGGACUCUACAAUCAUUUCCCCCAACUCUAUUUUGCUGUUUGGUGGCUCCAUUAACAUCCAGCAUCAGACCGGACUUGUUAUUGUCGAUGGAUGGUUAAAACUGACAGCCCCAGCACAAACUGCUGUCCUGUUCAAGGAACUCCGUUUAACUCUUCACUCUGUUCUAAAGGAAUUGAUAAGAAAGCCAGAGGUAACGUUCUUUUUUGCUUCUAAGUUUUGAUACUUUGGAUUUUUAUUUCUUGUUUUGGCGUGACGCUUGAUUCAUCUCUAACUUGUUAUGUCUAAUGAGUUCUAUUCCUUACUGGAUUGCAUUGUCCCAUGAUGAUCUGAAGAUGCAUUUCUCUAAGCUUAUAGUAUUUAAAUGGUUUAGUUUAUGCAUAUCUAUUUAUUUAUUUCUUAAAUAGCUGCUACUUUAGAGUGUGUAUUCUAUGAACGAGAAUUCUGUUAGCUUUUCUAAGCUCACUGUUUUCGAAUGUGAUAGCUUUCAGUUUUCAACAUUGUAUUGAUAUUAUGAUUAAUUUUUGAACUUUGUUUUCAGAAUUGCACCGUUGGUCAUAACGAGGUUCUAAGGUCUAUUAUCCAUUUGUUGUUGGAAGAAGACAAGCCUCCUCCUCAAUAAUCUAUCAACCUCGAGGUAUGUUUCCACAUCCUUUCUUCAACUUAUAGCUUGACUAUUGAUACUAUACUGGUGGGAUACAUUUUUUUCUCUUCAUGAUUGUGUGGUUCAUUCUUUUUAGAUUAUCAUGCGGGGCUCAGUCAAACUCAUUUGUGUUGGUGAUUUCUGUUGAAAUCAAGCUGACCGGCAUCUGGUGAAAAACUGCCUAUUUCAUACUUGAAAACUGUUCCCGUCUCUUUACUGCUGUACUGCAUUUCUUGUUUUUAUGCUGCAUAUGGUAAAAUUUCUAUACGUUGAGAGGGAAGGAACACCAAGGACACAAUAUGGCGCUCAUCUGUCAUAUGAAUACUCACCAUGGCCUGUGGGCGGUUACAAGGCUUUUCUCUUCUGACCUAUACUGGAUUUAGUGUGAUCUUAUUGUGGGAGGCAAUAGUAGCAACUCUGACCUCAAUUAGGGUGAAAGCAAAGGCAUAUUUUGACAUGUACAAGUAAAAUGAUCUGUUGCCCUCCACUGCAUUUUGUACGAAAAGAAAUAUGAAUUCCGUAGAUCAGAAUAUUGACAUUGUUAGCUUUUUUCAGUUCAAUCGCCGAAGACGGCCAUCAAGGUGUUUAAUUAUAUAGCACAGUGAAAUGAGUGGAUGAGUCUUAUUGAUCAGAAACUUUCUUGGCAUUUGAGAAUCAAGAUCGAAUUAUGAAAGACUCGAUAUACAAAAAAAAAAAAAAAAACCAAAAUUCAUAAGAUGUAUAACAAUCAAAUUCAUAUGUACUUCUAUCUUGUUUGUUUCACAAGAGUUAUUACUUAUCAAGAAACUCCAAUAUAAACAAUGGACUAGAUUCAUUUCAAUCACAAUGGUCUUGGUAUUCUCAUACAAUGUCACCCGAAUUCAAAAAUUUUAAUCUGGGAAUGGGAGAAAUGGAAAACUUAAGAAUUAAAAGAAGAAAAAAAAAAACUCAGGGGAUGUCAGCCACACGAACCACGGUAGUUUCUAUUUCUCUGGCUGGCAUAAUAGGUCAUAUUAACGUUGUACUUUUUAUGAAAUUUCUCAAGUAGGUAGGACAUUUCCAGCAACAAUGCCUUGACCCAUUACUCAUUUUGCUUUCUAUACAUGAGAAUAGCGUGAUUCAUUUUAUGGAUUUCAUUCCAUAUGUGCAAAUGUGCAAUAGUAUUAAUGUGGUUAGCUUAUACAAUAAAUUUGAAUCAUUUGGUGAAGUUUUUCCAUAUGAAGACAUGAAGACCCCUAUAUAUACUAGGUUUAUUUGUUGUUGCAUAUACAAUAUAGAGUUUGUAUGGAAGGUGAUACUUUCUUUGACCGGUAGAAUUGGAGAUGAACUCUACCCGGUCGACGAUUUGCCUAAGAUUGGGUUGGAAAUUGGCAUCUCAAGUUAGAGUCUUUGGUAAAUAGUUGAUUCGGUUAGAUUUUGAUUCCAUCAUAAGAGACUGAUGUUCAUUUUAUGUUGCUCAAUUUUGGAGACGAAUUCAAGUCGGUUAAUGAUCUACUAGAAAAUACAAGCACCAUGUGCAUUAUUUAGUUUUCUGGUAAAUCAUUGAUCCGAUUAGACUUCAAUGAUCUAUGUUUAACAAAAAAAAUUACAGAUCGUCGUGCUAUGUUUAGGUUCAAGUAAUUUAACUCGUUCUUUAUCUUUAUUUCCCACUUUCUACACAUUUCAAAAUUUUAACAAUACAAAUUAAUGAGGUCCUUCCUAAAUUUUAAUGACAAAGCAGACCUCUAGUUCAAGUUCGAUGUAUUAAGGUGGAAACUGCGAUUUCAGACAAAGGUUAGGAGCCUCCUUCCAUAAUAAUAUAAAUUGGAGCAUGUUAUAUGAUAUUUAGUUCCCAUCAAGCUCACAAACUUGGCCAAGAAACCGAGAUGGAUCGAAGGUUACCUUACUCAGCCUCUGACCAUGUAGUCUCCAAUUACUUAGCCUCCUUCAAUAAUAAGGGGAAGGCUAAGAUGUGUUAGUCAUGCAUCAACUUUGUCUUAAAAUUUAAAAAUGAGUACUUAAAGUAGUAAAAUUGGUCCACAAAGUUAUAUGUCUGAUAAAUUUGUAGCUAGUUAUAAUUAAUCCUAAUGGCAAUCUAGAAAUUCCAACAGGCACAAGUCCCUCCCUAUUGGCAUAACUGAAACUAGAGAGUAGAGACUCCAGUUGUCUUCUUUUGCUUACUCGCCCUGAAUAUUUUUUUUUUCCUACUGAUUGUGGAAUAGAGCUGUGAUAAUGUUGAAACAAUCUAUCCAUUUGGCAAGCAUGAAAAUUCAUAUUGUAUUGGCUUGUAAUUCUAAGCGUUAUAACCAGUUCUUAGCUUGUUGGGUGCAAGAGAUUUGGCUGGGUACUAAUAGGCCGAAAAUCCUAACCUUAUCAAUCAUGUCAUAUUCACACAUGCUUACAACGCAUCCUGAGACAUUUUGAAGAAAUUACCAUUAGGUGUAAAAAUUAUUAUUAGUAACAUUUUCUCUCGAUGAAAGUGGUAAAUGUCAAUGUCUCCCAUCCCCAGACAAUCAUCUAAAUGAACGUCUCCCAUCCCAUCCACAUAUAAUAGCUUAUUUCUUGUGGAACUACGGCAAUAUGAAAGAUGAAAGAUUGUGAAUAUAAUCAGAAUGAUUUUCGUGGACAUUUUGAAGAAUUCUAUCAACCACAUUACACAUUUGCCUAGUAC